rnacentral:lncRNA from 1 species
UUGCUUGGUUUUAUGUCACAAUGAAUUAUAGGUGUUGGAUGUCCAUUGUGGAGGUGUUCUAUAGCUACCGCAACAUCUAUCAUUAUGUCGACCCUUUGUAUGAUAUCAAGGAAACAAUUUUCAGAAUGUAACCAUUUCUCAAGGUUUCCAUUAGACAUGUAAUCAAGCACCAAGGCUUUGAAGUCAACACUUGAACAGCAAGUAAUGACCUUCACAAUAUUACGAUGAACUAUAUUACGCAUAGCAUCACAUUCAAUGUCAAAACUCCUAAAUGCUCCCUCUGUUUGCAAAUUGAAAACUUUUAUUGCAACUUCCAUUCCAUCUGAAAGCCUCCCUUUAUAUACACAUCCAAAACUCCCUGAACCAAGCAUAUUGCUUUCCUCAAAUCCAUUAGUUGCUCUUGAAAGUACAGCAUAUGAAAUUCUUCUCGGUGUUUUCAAAGACAGCAAAUCAUCUUUAAUUGGUAGAGUUGUACUCCUUCGCCGGCAUCUUCUAUACAUAAUAGUUAAGACUAAUAGUACUAUGACAAUACCAAUUGUUGGUAAACCAUACCUAAAAGCAUGCAAUAUAAUCAUUUGGGAGUUUUUGUGGAUGUCGUUUUUGCAAGGUGGGACUAGCAAUCUAGGUGGACCACAAAGUGCAUAAUUCCUCAUGAAUGAUGUGCUAGAAAAGUUUGAAAAACAUCCUUUGCUGGGAAUUUCCCCUUCAAGUCUAUUGAAUGACACAUUAAAAUACUUUAGAUAUAAAAGCUUUUCCAAAGAUUUGGGAAUGACUCCAGAGAGAUUGUUAUUGGAUAAAUCCAAGAAUUCCAAACUAAUCAACCCAUCAAAUGAUUCAGGGAUAUGACCAUGUAGUAUAUUAUUUGAUAAAUCUAAUGAAACCAAAGUUUGAAGACCCCCAAAUGUGGAUAAGACAUCGCCCGUGAGAAGAUUCCUUGAUAAAUUUAGUUUCAGUAGACUCCUCAAAUUUCCAACAUCAAUAGCAUGUGAAUUGUGAAGAUGGUUUGAUGAUAAAUCUAUUUCUAAGAUAUCUUUAAGAUUCCACAAAUUUGAGGGUAUUGCGGAACUCAAUCUGUUGGAAUUUAAGUAAAGAUAUCCCAAAGAAGUAAUAUUACCCAAACAAGAGGGUAUGGGUCCAUGCAGCUUAUUCAACCCUAAAUACAUCUUGUAUAGUCUCUCCAAACCACAGAGGCUUUCGGAGAUAGGCCCUCCUAAUUUAUUAGAGGAAAGAAAUAGACCUUGGAGAUUUCUCAUUCCUCCUAUUGAUGCUCGAAUCAAUCCACUUAAUUUAUUAUAGCCAAGUUGUAAAAGCAAUAGGUUGGUUAAGUUACCUAUUUCCAUAGGAAUAAUGCCUUGAAGCUCACAAUUAUGGGCAUAAAAGUAUUGAAAGGAUUUUGAAAGGUUCCCGAUAUAAGUAGGAAGAACGCCACUCAAUGGAUUUCCUGAAACCGCUAUUUUUCUCAAAUGCCUGCAAUUCGAUAAAGAAGAAAGAAAGCUCCACUCAUGAUCAGUAGCAGAUCCUGUGAUGAAAUUAUUGUUUACGAUUCGGAACCGUUCAAGGUGUCUUAAGUUGCCAAGUGUUUUAGGGAUUGGACCAGAGAAUAAGUUAUGUGACAACUCUAGUUUCUUAAGCAUGGAAGCAUUGGAGAUAGAGUUGGGAAUGUUUCCGCUAAGUUUAUUUCCCCACAAAAAAAGAAACUCAAGCUUUGGAGCAUUGGUGAUGGGUGGUAAAUUACCUGUAAAAUAGAAUCUUUUAGUAUACAAAUUCACAAAAUAUAUAAUACAUUAAAGUAAAAACUGUAAAACUUUAAAUCAAUUAAGAAUAAAAUUUUGGCAUGGAAAAAUGUGAUGAAAUCAAUUAGAAAGUUGAGACAUAAUAAGAAGUUUUGAGUAGUAAUUAGUCCUUGUGAUUUGUAUAGACAAAACAUAUAAUACACUAAUAAUUUUUUAAAAUAUUGUAAAACUUGAAAUAAAAUAAAAAUAAAAGUUUGGCAUGAGAACGUGGCAUCUAAUCAAUCUUAAAAAUGAGACUGAUACUGAAUAAUAAUUAGUUAUGAUUUGGGAAACAAAAAUGUUAAAGUCAUUGUUUUUAAUGUAAACUGGUAUGAUUUUGACCUAUUAGGUUAAUUAUUUAUUUUUAUUAAAUUAUAGUGUAAAAUUUAAAGAUUAUUAUUUGCUCAAAAUUUUUGUGUUUUUCGUAUAUUUGAAAUUUAAUCUUUAUAUUUUUUAUUUUCUGUGAUUUAGUCUCUCUACUUUUUGAAUUAAAAAUUUUAGGUUCAUUUAUUAACACUGUUAAAAAAGUUUUUCUGUUAGUAUGGCAUUUUGAAAAAUAAAAUAAACUUGAUAUCUAUGUUUUUAAUUAUUCCAAAUAUUGUUUCACUAUUUCAAGAUAAAUUAUUUGUGUUUAGACCAAUAUCUUAAGAACUAUUGUUGCAUGUUUAAUUAUUCUAAAGAAUUGUUGAUUGAGUCUUAGCUGAAGUGCACUAUUCUCCUAUUUAUGAAUUGGGGAGUUGGUAAAGUAUUAAAUUUUGAUAUAUUUUAAAAUAUUAAAAAUUUAUUAAAAUAUUUUUUAUAAAAAUUGAUUAUACCACAAUAUACAAUUUUAAUAUCAAAUUUUUAUUUUUUUUUAAAAUAUUAGCGAAUAUAUACUUUAUUUCAAGUUACACAAUUUUUACUAGUUUUUAAAUUUUUUUAAAAAUUUUUAUCGUCUUUUAUAAUUUCUAAUAAUUUUUUAUAAUUUUUUACAAUAUUUACAAUUUCUAACAAUUUUUAAUAAUUUUAUUAUUUAUUACAAAUUUAAAAAUUAACAAAUUUUUAUUUUUUAAAACAAUUAUAUAUUUAUAAUGUAGUUGUUUUUUUUAUAAUUUUAUUUGAAAUUUUAAAGAUUUUUUUUGGUUUUUUUUAGAUGAUGAUGCCAUCAUGAUGUCAUCAUAUGUCACAUGGCAAUUUAUAAUUAGUUGAAUAUCUCAAUCUAUUUUAUUAACGUCCAAUAGACUAAAACAAGAACACCUGAUAAUGUUAGAGACUACACUAGGAAUGUUUGAUAAUAUUAGGUACUAAAGUGGGCAAAAAAAAUUAAGGACUAUAUUAAAAAUAUAUCUAUAAUAUAUAUAAAUGCAUGGAUUUUGAGAAACUUUUGAAAUGAUAAUUAUAUAGUCUUUGUUUUUUUUUUCUAUAUUAUUGAAUUUUUUAUUUUAAAUAUUUUUUUAUUACUUUUAAGAUUUAUCAUAUGCAUGGAUAAGAAUUUUGGUUUUACUAAAAUAUUUGGUUAAAUAAAUUCACUUCAUAAGAAAAUUUAGGAUCCUUAUAAAUAACAAUUUUGAUUCUAUUAAAAAUAUUAUUUUAAAAAAUAUAUAAUAAAAAUUUAAAAUUUAUAUUGAAUUACUUUAUACUUAAAUUAUUAUUAGAAACUUUAUCAUACACAUACAUAUAUGAGAAGCACGUAUUUAGAACAUAAAUUUGUGUUUUAAAAUAACUUAUGAUAAAUAAUGAAAUGUAUAAUUUGAAACUAUUUAAUAAUAACACAUGGCAUAUCUACCAUAUUAAAAUAAAAAUAGAUUAAAUUGUAGGUAAAACAUAAUUUAAACAUAUGAAUACAUCAAAUUAAGAAUACUAAAUGAAUACAGUUAUUUAUGAUGAUGUUGUUGCCAAUUCUUAACUUGGUGUCGAGUUAAUUUGUGACAUCAUAAAUUUAAGUGGUAAAUUUAAGGUUUUAUGUAUUGAUGUGGAUUCAAAUAUCACCAUAAUUUUUUUUAAAAAUAAAAAACUAAAGUACCCUCAAACAAUAUAACUUAUAUUAAAUAUGAAAGGGUAUUUUUAUAAUUUCUUUAACCGAGUUGAUGCCCGGUUGACUCAUGACACCAACUCAAUCAAAAGCUUCAAUAAUAAUAUAGAUAUUCACGUUAAAAAAACCAAAAAAAGUACUUUAGUUCCAAAUAAUUAUAUAAUAAGUAAAUUUAUAAUUGAUGAAUAAAUUUAUAAAUAAUAUAUUUAUAUGAUCUAAUAUAUUAUAUAUAUUAAUUAUAUAUCAUCUACAAACUUUGAAGAUCAAUUUAUUAAGUAUCAAGAAAAGAAAAAAUGAAAUUGAAUUAACACUAAAUCGAUUUUUAGAUUUUGUCCAGAUGAUUUAAUGAUGAUAAAAAAAUUAUUAGCACUAUUUUUGAAUUAACAAAAAAUUAGUGAUAUAUUUUAAUUAUAUUUAUUAUUUAUUAGUUUUAAUAAUGUUUUUUUAAUUAUAUGAAGUAAAAUUAUAUCGUAUACUAAAUAUGGUACAUAUACUUUAAUUAUAACUUGAAAAAUUAUUAUAUAAAUUAAUAUAUUUUAAUUAUAUUCAACCAUUUGAAUAACAAAAUUAAAAAAAAACUAAUUAGAAUUAUUUACUUUUUAAAGUUUAAUGGAAAUUAAAAAAUUAAAAAUAAAUCAAUUCAUAUAAAUCUUAUUGUUUAUUAUCAGAUUAAUAUGAUAAAAGUAUAUGACAUAAAUAGAAGAAACAAAUUCAACACAAUGUUUUUGGAGUUUGGAAAAAAUUAAAGUGAAAAACAUACCUUCUAAUUUGUUGUUAAAUAGCUCUAUACCUUCGAGCGUAGUUGAAUUAAAAAUACUUGAUGGAAUCUGGCCUGCACACAUAGUCGAAAAUUGAAGUGAAAAAUAUACCUUCUAAACUGUUCAACUAAAAAUACUUUAAGCAUCUUUUUUUCCAUCAAAUUAGUUAUCUAUUACAAAUCAAACUCUUUUAUGAAAUGUUGAAGAUGGAAGAUGGAACCUGACCAGAUAAUUGAUUGAAUCCCAAGUUCAAGAUCUCUAGAUUAGACAUGUUAACAAGUGUUUCAGGGAUUGUGCCUGUAAAGUUAUUAUUCUUCAUUUCCAGCCUUCGAACUCUUUGUAAGUUCCCAAGCCAUGAUGGAAUUUCCCCAUUCAGACGGUUGUAGCUUAAUUGAAGGAUCCUCAAACGAUGCAAGUGGCCCAAUUCUUUAGGGAGAUGGCCAUAGAAAUGGUUGCUACUCAAGUCUAGAGAGAGUAGAAAUGAAAGAUUUCCAAGGUGUGGAGGGAUAGUACCCCUAAGAUUCAUGCUUGUAAGAUUCAAAGCUAUAACUCUUUUAUGGAGGAUGCCACAAGAAACACCAAUCCAAUUGCAAACAGAGGUUGAGGCCGUCCAAUUGUUUGCCAUGACAUUUUGAGGACCGGCAAUGCGAUCCUUGAACUCGAGAAGUGCAAAUUGAUCAGAGUUGAGAUUCCUGACUGUUAUAGCCAAGCAAAGUACGGAACAUGGUAUGAAUAAAGCUAAAAGAAGAUGAAAGCAAGUGUUGUAGUCCAUGAUUGCAAGACGGAAUAAGGCAAGAAAAUAAAAAAAAAAGUAGGAAAAGGGAAGUUGAGUUGAUAAAAUAGUUUGGAUGAUGAAGAAAAGCCCAGAGAGCAUGCUUUAAUAUGUUUCAACCCUCGCACACUUGAUAAACUUGAUAAAUUUAAGACUACUCUAAAAAUUAAAAAGGAAAACAAAGUUUUGAUGAAAUUUCAAAAUAAAUGUCAAGUAUUCUUCUUUUAGAAAUACGUAUAAAGAAGUGAAUUUUCAAAAUUUCUCCUAAAUUUUCUUCACAUUACUCCACAUAAUCCAUUAAAAAAAACUUAAAAAAUAUAUUUUAUUAAUUACUAUAUAUUCUUUUAUUUUCAGAAUAAUAAAUUGUUUAAAAUAUGCUACUAGUCCCUGUAAUUUAAAAGUUAAAAAAAAUCCAAUCCUCCUAUUUUUUUAAUUUAAAAAUUCUAGUCCAAUCAUUUUUAAUUCCAUUAAAAAAUUUCAACUUAAUAGAUUUUUUAUUAUCAAUCAUAUGCAACAUUAUAUGAAGGCAGUCUACUCAGUAUAUAUCCAAGUUUACAUAUUUUAAUAGAAAAUACUUACAAUCCUAAUGAUAGGACUAAGUUUUUUAAACUAGAAAAGUACAAAAACUUAAAUUUUAACUUUUUUAAGUACAAGGAUUAAAUUUUAAAUGUUGUCAAAGUACAAGCACUAACAAAAUAUUGUGAUCUAAUAAAUGUAAAAAGCAUUUUAAACAAAAGAUGGUUGAAAUAAUCUAUUUGUCCUUAUACUUUGAUAAAAUUUGAGAUACCAUAAAAUUUGUAUCUUUUUUCGAAUUAUUUAAUGCCAUUUCAACAUUUUCAUUAAAAAAAAAACAUAUCAUUUUGAAUUUGAUCUUUUUCAAGAUGAAAAUAUUGAAAUGAUGUUAAAUUAUCGGAAAGAGAUACAAGUUUCAUGGUAUCUCUCUAAGAAAGCUGAUGUAAGAUAUUAAUGACAUCAUUUGAACAAAGUUUUAGGUCAAAUUAUUCAUCUAGUCCUUGUAAUUAUUCUUUAAGGUGAAUUUCAUUAUUAUUCUUUUAUUUUCUUUGGCUUAAAUAAACAUUUACCCCUAAUUUUAUCACAUUCUCCUUAAUUGGUAUUUAUAGUUUAGAAAAUUUUACAAAUAUAUUAUUUUUUAAGAAAUUAUAAGAAGAUUACAAAAAUUCCAAAAUAAUAUAAAAAAGCUAAGAAAAACCUAGAAAUUCAAAAAACAAAAAAAUAAUGUUUUUACAAAUUGGGGUAUGCAAUCAAUUUUAAGAUGGUUUUUGGAGUUCAUCUCACUUUAGCAUUGACUUACUUUUCUACAGUUAGUCUUCUCCAACAAGUUAAAUAUUUCAAUUUUAACAACAUUGACAGGUCUUAGGGGUAGGGUCGAGCAAAACUCAAUAGAAAUAGAUGAUAUAGGUUGAGUUGGCUCGGCCAAGUCGAGUCGACUUGUUCAAAUUUGUUAAAUUAGUAAAUUUUGGGGUGCAGUUAGAAUUUUUUUGUUUUGAGAUGCUAAGAUUAAAAAAAUUUGAGUUUUGAAAACUUUGACUCCUUUUUGCUUUGAGAGUUGAUUUGAAGAGAAAAGAGCUUGAAGGUGCUUUUGUAGAAAUAGGACAAAUUUUAAAAUAAGGAGUAAAUUGGAAAAAAAAAUUUGGGUUGGGCUAAUUUGAAAAUUUGACACUUUUGUGGGAUAAAAAUAGAAAAAUAUUUUGGUUGAAUACACAUAAGGAGUUACGAACUUGAGACUUAUAGGUAGGCUAAGGCCUUACCACUUAACCAACAAGCUCAUUAUUAUUAUCUUUUAACACAAAUAAAUUUUAAGGCAUACUAAGGGCUUGUUUAGCAUUGCAGUGAAGAAGCAUUUUGGCUUAAAAAACACUUUUGAGAGAAAAGUGGUUCUAAGCUAGUAACUUUUGGCUAAGAUUUUGGCUUUUCAAAAGCAAUUUUGGCCAAAUGGAGAAGUUAAAAUUAUUAGCUUUUCUUACCCAAAAGCAGUUUUGAGUGCUUAAUUACUAAUUCAUCCCCCCAAAAACACAAUUUAAAAUAAAAUAAUACAAAUAUGUUAAUAUUUAAUUACAAAUAUUUAAUGGGUAUAUUUAAAUAUUUAAAAUAUAAUUUAUAUAUUCUAAUUAAAUUUUAUAAAUAAUUAAUAUUUGUUGCUUAAAAAUAUUUAAAAUUUAUAUUUUAUAUAUUAAAAUAUUAACAACAAAUUAUAAUAAAUUAUUUUUUAUAUUCUUACUAAAAUAUCAUAAUAUAAAUUAAUUUUAAUAUUAUUUAAAUACAUAUUUGUUACUUUAUAAUAUCAUGUCUAAGAUUGACGUUUUAUUUCUCAAAAGCACUUUUUGAAAUUAAUACUAAACACUUAAAUUUUAAACUAAACUUCUCAAAGAUACUUUUCUACAACACUUUUAAAAGCACUUUCCAAAAUCAAUGCUCAACUACCUCAAACUCUCUUACCUUAUACUUUAAAAGAGAAAAAAAAAAGAUUUUAAAUUUUAUCCCUAUUUCUUUUAACCCAAUUUUUAGGAUGUCAAACAUUUAUAAAUAAAAUAAGUAAAAGGAAAAAAAAGCAUAUACUUUAUUUUUAUCGCAGGUAAAAGUUUUAAUGGAGAGGAUCAUGUAAAAUUAUGAUCUGAAUAAUUUUAAACAUUUCAUCAUUGCAAAAAUGAAAUAAUAGAAAAGAAUGACUAUUCGAAUUUGCAUUUGUGUUCUUUCUUUCAAUAUUUGCUUUCAAAACUGUGGGAAAAUUUUAAAUUUGAUGAAAUUUUAAAAUUGCAGUUCAGUAAAAUAUAAAUUUUAUGAAUUUGGAGUAGCCAUUUUAUUUAUAAUUUUCUGUGUUUUCUUCUUUGCUGACUUUUUUAAUGUCAUUUUCUAUCAUGAAAGAAACUUAAAGAUUCACUAUGUAUUUCUCAACCACUAUGAAAUUACUUGACUACGGGGGUAGAAUUUUCUCACCAAUUUUCUAACAUUAGAUUUUUUGAAUGAGACAAAUAUUCAAUUUUAACACAUUUCCCAUAAUUAGUCACCCCUAUUUGUGAGUGAUUUGGGGAUAAAAGCUUAAACAUUUAUGGAUCACAUUGCAUUUAAGACGGGUGUUUGGAGUUAUAUGAAAUUUUAACAUAGACUGGCUUUUCUAUAAAGAGUACUCCUUGCUUUACUAUUGUCAUGAUACGAGGAGAUACUGAAAAUUAUUGUACUAUGAAAUUUUAAUUCACUCGAAAAAUAAGUGUUUUAUUUCAAGGGAUUAAUAUUAGCUUUCUCUUUUUUAAAUUUUGAAUUUUUUUUGACAACUGCGUAAUUAAGAAUAUAUCAAUUUUAGGUGUUAUAGGGGUGUUUUAACCUUCCCUAUGUGUAAUCGACUACUGAAACUUUUUUAUUCUUUAGAAUUCAACACAUACCUCAAAAUUUUCUUUUUAAAAGAUUUUUAAAAUCUCUUUAUAAAAGAUUAUCACACUUAACAAAGAUGAUCAGUGACUACUUUUCUUUAAUAAAAUAUUAUGUUUUUGCAGAGACCAAAAUUUUCAUAUUUUUCAAGAAUUCCUCAAUCUAAUUUUCUUUUUGAAUUUUUAUUUUCAAGAGGAAAAUGAUCCCUACAAUUAAUAUUUAUUUUCCUUAUUUUUAAUUUCUUUUUAAGGGAGAUGAAUAGUGGAAUGAUAAUUUUUAGUUAUGGUAAAGUAAAUUUAAUUAUCCACAACCUUCAACUAUUAAUUUUUUCGAUUUAAUUACACAAUUUUUUGAAAUUAACACUCUUUUAUUAGUUGUCGCUAGGUGAUGGACGAAAAGUUGAUUUGGACUUUUUGUUGACCUAAUAACAAAUUUAGAUAUUCAAAGUUUACUUAUUCUAUCAAUUUAAUGCUAAAUUUAAAAAAUUCAACAAAUCCUAUCAAAAAACAAUUGGACCUUGAGUACACAGGCUGUGAGAUUUUCACAUGGCUGUGUCUACACUGCACUCUAUUUUAUCAAAUUCGGACAAAGAGUUACACAGGCUGUUCACACGGGCAUGUGCCUCCUUCACAUGGGGCGUGUAGACCUCCACACAACUUAGGAACUUCCACAUGGCUGGGGCACACGGUCAUGUGGCCUUGUUUUGUAGAUUUUUGUUCUGUGUUAGAUUUUGACUCGUUUUGUGCCUGUGUGUAUUCUGACCUCAGUUAAGACUUAGUAAGAAUGUUUAGGACUCUGAUUAGUUCGAAUUUGUGCAUUUGUUUGUAACUAAUGUGUUAAUUUAUUAGUUUGAUUAAAUGUUAUGUGAUGUUAUUAGUAAAUAGUUACAAACCUAAUUGAUUCUAAAUCUGAUUGAUUGAACUUGUGUGUUUCGUUUUCUGUAUGGAUGUUUGUAUGUUGUGUGCAUUUUGCAAUAGCAUAAAAAUUUUACUAUUGAUUGACUGAAUAUGAACUUCUAUAUCUGUGACACUAUUAGUGUUUGAUGUGCAUUCAUACAUAUGCAUAAAAUUAGGGUUUUGGUUAUGAAGAGAAGGGAGCCUGUUUCGGUAGUUCAACUGUAAUAUUUCUGAACAGCAGUUUACCGCAUGAUUCUAUAUAUAUGUCAGCUUAGCUGCAUAUUAUGAUUUCGAGUGGCUUAUUUUCCUUAUUGUAGUGUGUAGGGUGGAUGAACCUUUUAUAGUUCUUGUAAUAGGCCCAAUUUGUAUGGGCCCAAAAAAAUAAGUUACAAACCCAAAAUAAACAUUACAAGCCCAAAAAUUAAAAAAAAAACUAACGGCCCAAGUGGCCCAAAACCUAACCCUCUUUAGUCGCCACUUCUCUCACGCGAGCCAACCUCCUCACGCGUGCCACCACGUCAGCACCUCCGUACCCUCCACGCUCUCUCUCUCUGCCACCAUAGCAUGCGUCCUUGCCCGGUACUUGCAGACCAAGCAAAAGAGAGCACAACAGUAAAGAGAAAAACAUUGUAUUUUUCGGCUAUAAAAGCCAUGAACAAAUCAAUGUAAAUUUUUUACGACAAAAAUAAAUACAAAAAAGGCAAUUGGAAACAAAAAAAAGGUGGUUCUUUUUUUGUUUUUAUUUCUUUUCUACUUAUAUUUCUACUAGUUUUUAAGAAAAAUAAAAAAGAAUGGAGUCGAAUCUUACCCUUUUCUCGCAUGUGCGCCGUCGUGGGGGGUCGAGGUUCGUCUUUUCCAAUGAAAAAUGACAUUUUUUGAGUUGAGGAAGUCGAAAAGUCAAAAAAUGGCCUUUUUUCGAUUUUUUGGCCACCGUGGAUGGCGGCGCCGUCACCGACGACCGACGGCCGCCACGACGGUCCGUCGGUUGGAGCCAUGGCCGGAGAGGGGAGUUGGGAGAAAGGGGGAGAGUGAUUUGAGUGUUUUUUUUUCAGAGAAUGGGGAGAAAUGAAAAAUUAAAAAAAAAGGUUUUUAUAGAGGAUUGAAAUGGCAUCGUUUUGGGCCUUAACCCCAGUGGCCAAAACGACGUCGUUUCACCCCUUUAAUCUGCGCGUGGACCCGACCCGCAAGAGGAUCCGUGUGUUUUUGUGGAAGGGUCUAUUUGCGUGUUAGACCCUUCCACAUUUUUCAAUUGUCUUAAUCCAGUCCUUUUUUAUUUUCUAAUUUGUACUUCAAAUUUUAUUUUAUUUUUGAUUUGGUCCUAGCAAAACGGCGCGUUUCAGAGGGCGGGGAUAUUUCCCCAAUUGGUCCCUCUUAGUUAUUCGCGCCUUUCAAAUGGGUCCUCUACCUUAUUUUCAUUCUCGAUUUUUACCCAGUUUUCUGAUUAAACUUCAAUUUAGUCCUUCUGCAUCUAUUUUAUUAUAAUUUUAGCCCCUCUUAUAUUCAUAAACUUAUUUUAUUAGGAUUUGGACUCUUAAUUUUAUUUCAAUGUCAAUUUAAUCCCCUUUUAUCUCAGUCUAGGUUUUAUUUUCUUUUUUUUUGUUGUGCUUUAUUUAUUUUAUUUAUUUGCUUACCAUUUCUUUUUUUAUUUUGAUUUUCGUAUUUAAUGAUGCUUUUACUUUAUUUAUUUUAUUCUUGACUUUCAUUGUUAUUGUUGUUGUUGUUGUUGUUAUUUUUAUGGUUUUUUAUUAUUUCAUUUAUUUACAUAUUUUAUUCCAAAUUGUUGCUUUAAAUUUUGUUUACAUUUUAAUUCGGUUCUUUACUUUCAAUAUUUUUUUAUAAACUAUUUUCCCUUACAUUAUUUAUGUAUUUAUUUUAUUUGUUUUUUUUAAAGUUGGUAUUGUCCUUUUAUGUGCAUACUUUGACAUUAUUACCAUUGUUAUUAUUUAUUUUAUUUAUCUUUUGAUUAUUCAUAUUAAUGUUAAAGUAGUGUAUAUUAUAUGAUUCUCGUAAAUUGUCUUUAUUAUAUUCAUUAUUGUUAUUUAUUAAUGCAACAUUUCAUUCAUGUAUUAUUUUAAAUAUUACACAUUUUUACCCAAAUUUGUAAAAAAAUAUAAAAAUUAGAAAAUAAGCAAUAUUUCGUAUUUUGGAAUUUGAAAAGUCGUUCCCUAACUUACGGGGUUUCAAUUUUUUUGAUAAAUCCAAAUAUACGAGCUAUUUUUCAAAAACACAUUUUUAAAAUUAUCUCGAGAAUUAAAAAGAUCGUUUUUCAACUUUUGGAAUAUGAUUUCUUUUCUAAAACUGAGAUAAUAAAAAUUUUCUAAAAAUAAAUAAAAUUUUUGGUGUUUAUUCUCGUUUUGAGAUUUAAGGUUAUGUCCUAACUCACAGGGUAUAAUUCUUUUUCUCGGUUGACAUAAAAUAUGCCCUUUUUAAAAUUCUUUUAGGUAAUUUUAAUAAAAGGAUCGUAUUUUAAGUCUCUUCAAAAUUUUCAACUUUCGACAUUAAGACAUUAAUUAAUCAAUUAGGUAUCAAUUUUGGGCGUGACGAGGGUGCUAAUCCUUCAUCGCACGUAACCGACUCCCGAUCCAUUUUUCUCGAAUUUCGUAGAUCAAAAUCAUUGUUUUAGUAAAAUCGAAACGUUUUGUUAAAAAGAUUGAAUUGCAAGGUGAUCCGAUCACACCAAAAAAAAAUAUCGGUGGCAACUACAGUUUUUUUCGUUUUUAUUUUUAUAAUAAAAGUCGACCCCUUUUUUAUUAAAAAAUGGCUUCGAUAGUUCUAUGUGGUGUGAGGGUAGACGGGCCUUCUAUAGCCCUAAUGUGGUGUGCAGGGUGGUCGAAGUGGUGUUCAAAUGGUUGGGUGGGUUUUUAACUUAUUGCAUACGGUUUGCAUUAGGCAUAUGUGUCUGAUUAUGAUUCUUUUUAAAAUUAUUUGCAAAUGUUUGUACUAAUUUGAUUAUUACAUGUGUUAGAGACAUUGCUUAUGCAGUUUGAUACUAUAUAUUGACUUAUUGAUGUAAGAUUUUCGUAAGUGACCAUCAUAUAGUGCUUGUCUGAAAUAUUUAUGGAGUUAUCCCCUCUUUUACCGACUGUUGUGUUUUGGACUCACACUGAGCUCGCGUAGCUUACCACCUUAGUUUUCUCCCUUUUAGAUACUCUCGUGUUCUGUAGCUAGACUCGACAUAUUAGAAGGCUCAGACGGAAGAGGUGAGAUUUGAUUUAAUAAAGUGUUUCAAUUCAAUUUUAGUUUUUCUAACUUCUUGGGACUAUAAGUGUUAAUAGGGACUGUAGUAUAAGUUUUACUUCUGGAUUUUCGUAAAUUUUUAUUUUGGGACUGAACUUUUGAAAUUGUGGAAUUAUACUUUCUAUUGUUUUUAACGUAAUUUAAAAUCUUUGUUUGAAUCCUGAAUGGUUAAACGACUUAGUUUGAUUUUAGCAAAAAUGAGUUAUAAAUGAGAUGUUAACAAUUCAUUUUGUAAAAUUAUUUUUAGAUCACUUCGGUGUUCAAAGUAACCUCUGAGAUUCGAUCCAUACUUCUAGGCCGAGUUUUGGGGUGUUACAUUAGUUUUCAAGAGGAGAUUGGUGAUCUACUUGAAGAUAGAUUGAUUUUGAAAACUUUGACUCCUUUUUGCUUUGAGAGUUGAUUUGAAGAGAAAAGAGCUUGAAGGUGCUUUUGUAGAAUCAGGACAAAUUUUAAAAUAAGGAGUAAAUUGGAAAAAAAGGGUUUUGGGUUGGGCUAAUUUUAAAAUUUGACACUUUCGUGGGAUAAAAAUAGAAAAAUAUUUUGGUUGAAUACACACAAGGAGUUACGAACUUGAGACCUAUCGAUAGACUAAGGCCUUAGUACUGAACCAACAAGCUCAUUCUUAUUAUCAUUUAACACAAAUAAAUUUUAAGGCAUACUAAGGGCUUGUUUAGCAUUGCUGUGAAGAAGCACUUUUGGCCUAAAAAACACUUUUGAGAGAAAAGUUGUUCUAAGCUAGUAACCUUUGGCUAAGAUUUUGGCUUUUCAAAAGCACUUUUCGCCUAAUGGAGAAGCUAAAAUUUUUAGCUUUUCUUACCCAAAAGCACUUUUGAGUGCUUAAUUACUAAUACAUCCCUCCAAGAACACAUUUUAAAAUAAAAUAAUACAAAUAUUUUAAUAUUUAAUUACAAAUAUUUAAUGGUUAUAUUUAAAUAUUUAAAAUAUAAUUUAUAUAUUCUAAUUAAAUUUUAUAAAUUAUUAAUAUUUGUUGCUUAAAAAUAUUUAAAAUUUAUAUUUUAUAUAUUAAAAUAUUAACAACAAAUUAUAAUAAAUUAUUUUUAUAUUCUUACUAAAAUAUCAUAAUAUUAAUUAAUUUUAAUAUUAUUUAAAUGCAUAUUUGUUACUUUAUAAUAUCAUGUCUAAAAUUGACGUUUUAUUUCUUAAAAGCACUUUUUGACAUUAAUACUAAACACUUAAAUCUUAAACUAAACUUCUCAAAGAUACUUUUCUACAACACUUUUUAAAAACACUUUCCAAAAUCAAUGCUCAACUAUCUCAAACUCUCUUACCUUAUACUUUAAAAGAGAAAAAAAAGAUUUUAAAUUUUAUCCCUAUUUCUUUUAAUCCAAUUUUUAUCCCAGGUAAAAGUUUUUAUGGAGAGGAUCAUGUAAAAUUAUGAUUUGAAUAAUUUUAAACAUUUCAUCAUUGCAAAAAUGAAAUAAUAGAAAAGAAUGACUAUUCGAAUUUGCAUUUGUGUUCUUUCUUUCAAUAUUUGCUUUCAAAACUGUGGGAAAAUAUUAAAUUUGAUGAAAUUUUAAAAUUGCACUUCAGUAAAAUAUAAAUUUUAUGAAUUUGGACUAGCCAUUUUAUUUAUAAUUUUCUGUGUUUUUCUUCUUUGCUGACUUUUUUAAUGUCAUUUUCUAUCAUGAAAGAAAGUUAAAGAUUCACUAUUUAUUUCUCAACCACUAUGAAAUUACUUGACUAUGGGGGUAGAAUUUUCUCACCAAUUUUCUAACAUGAGAUUUUUUGAAUGAGACAAAUAUUCAAUUUUAACACAAACAUAUCUUUAGUUAUUGAGUCACCCCUAUUUGUGAGUGAUUUGGGGAUAAAAGCUUAAACAUUUCUGGAUCACAUUGCAUUUAAGAUGGGUGUUAGGAGUCAUAUGAUAUUUUUUCAUAGACCGACAUUUCUAUAAAGAAUCCUUGCUUUACUUUGGGUAGAUUCUUCCAAUUAGCGUGGUCGUUGGUAUUACUCUCCAACAAUUAUUGUACUGUCAUCCUUAUUCCUACUCCUCCUAGCAGAGAAGUUUCAUAAGUGUUUUAUUUCAAGGGAGUCAGCACUUAGCAACCCCUUGGGGGAUUCAGCACUUAGCAACCCCUUUUAUAUUCAAUGUACUCCGGCUUAUUCCGAGUGUUCAACCGGAAAUCUUGUUUGCAAUAUUUUACCAUUUUUUCCAACUUAACCACAUUUUUAGGAUCUAUGGCAAGUAUUUAUUCUACGUUCAAUUAAAUCUCCUCAUAUAAUGAAUAAUAUCAAAAUAAUGCAUUAAUUCACAUGUUUACUUACCUUGGUGCAAAAUAUUGUAAUUUUGCAAUUUACUCCACAAUUUUCUCUUUUCCCCGAUUGAGGUUGUCUCCUCGUCUUUCUUGAUCUAUAAUAGCAAUUUUAGCUUAUUUAAUAUUCACAUUUAUUAAAACAAUCCUCGACUCACAUUUAUUAAACUUGCUAUUUAAUAUUCACAUUUAUUAAAACAAUCCUCGACUCAACUUUUUACAAAAUUAUGAUUUUGCCCCCAAACUUUUGCAUAUUUACACUUUUGUCCCCAAGCUCGAAAAUUAAAUUCCACUCCUUAUUCUUAUGUUUUACAACAUGCUGAAUACUUUUCCCUUCUAUGGCAACAUCAAAUUCUCACUCUAACAUACACUCAUGAACAUUAAAUAUUUUUACCGAUUAUGUCAAUUUACCCGUUUCUACUUAAAAUUGCUUAGUAAAAGUUGUUUAACAUAAUUCUAGCUCCAUAUUCUACCAUAAAACAGUAAAAUAAACACAUUUCACCUAUGACUAUUUUUCCAAAUAUGAACCCUAGGUUAAAUUAUGUGUUUUGUUCUUCCAAAUGUGUUUUGUUACGAAAUUGAAAACCAAAAUUUAUGUAAAUUUGUCAUGAUUCCUCAAUAGAAAAAUCUGUAAAUUAUCAAAACGUAAAUGUGAACAUAUUAAUUAUUAACUUAAAAAAAACCUAGUCUUGUACAAUCAAAAUUCAAAAAUCAUUUGCCUUGUAAAACUUGUAAUUUUCAUUAAAAUUUUUGCAGCGAAAACUUUUUAUUUAGCCUAUUGAGCAUAUUUUUAAAUUUACGUUUUUAACUUUCGUAAAAUCCCAAUUUGUAUUUUUGUGGUGGAAAAUUUUAUAAUUUUGAAAACCUAGCCUUGAUUGUUGGUUAACACAAAUCAUGCAGAAAAAAAAAACCUUUAACUAAGCCAAAGAAAUCCAAAGCCAAAUUAAAUCGGAGAAAUUCAACCAAAAGCCAAAAGUCCAGUAAAUCAAUUUAUUAACCAGAGCAAACAUUUAAUGAAAGAAUCAAUCCGAGACCCCGCAAAUUCUAACUUUCCGAUUACCUGAAACAUCAUAAAUAAAAUAAAGGGGAGAGCUAUAAAGCUCAGUGCAUAACUAAAACAGAAGCUGAGAUCACAUACAAUACAAUAUACAAAUCAUAAAAUCAUAGAAAAUUUCAUAACAAACAGUCAAACAGAAUUGAGUAUACAUGAUUAUGCCAAUGCGGUAUUUUUCAGAAAAUCUUAAUGCAAAUUUUUCAGAAAACGUCCUACCCAAAUCCUCUACACACUUGAAUAGAGUUCUCCAGAACUUAUCCAUAAAAAAAACACACCAAUUAAGUCAUCCCAGGUUGCCCAAAAACGAUGACUCACCACCAUGGGAUGCCCGACAACGAUGGCUUAUCAAUAUGUAAUUAAACUGUUAGAUCAGAUAUUUGUGGUCAAGCCAUUGAAUUGCAUCUCAGCUACUUAAACAAAAAUAUGUAGUGAAGCCACUAUAUUGUAUCCAAGUUGCCAAAUAAAAAUAUGUGGAUAAACCACCAGAUAGUGCAGACCAUUAAACUACCAAAACUUCCUCCCUGCCAUAUUAUCCCAACCCCAUGCAAUGUGACAUGACAUGCAUUUACAUAAUCAAAACGACAAGCAUGUAAGACAUGUAGUCGUACCAUAACACAAUUUAGCAAGCAUGGCAUUCCACUCUUUUACAGAACAGAUGUAUCAGAAAUUCAACAUAAGCAAGUUGGUAUGCUAUAAAGUCACAUGCAUGAUCACAUAGCAGAAUCAGAAACAUAAAAAUAACGUAACCAAACCUCAUAUACACAAAUACAAACAUAACAAUACAAAUCAUGCUACCAGAUUCAUUAGAAAACAGUUCAUGCACACUAAUUUCACAUACCUUAUUCAUAUCACCUACAAUAUCAAAUUAUCAGAUAUUACAUUUUCAAAGUCAAUUUUACACAGUACGAACCCUACAAAGUGGCUAAACAUGAUUCACGAAUCAAAAGGGGCCUAAACGAAAAUUUUUAAAAGAUGGGCCAAUAUGGCCCAAUUAGCCUAGGCCGUAUGGCGUCGACAGUCCAAUUUUUGACUUUCAGCUGUUCAUUAUUUUUUGACUUUUUUGAUAUACACCUUACUAUUUUCCGAAGCAAAAUCAUGGCAAGAAUUCCAAAACUUAAAAUCCAUAUUCAACCCACUCAAAUUAGUAAUGAAACCCAAAACUAAAUCAUUAAACAACCAAAACUGCUACCAAUAAACCUUAUCAAACCAGGAAUCAACCUUUUGGCAUCUGACUACUAACCCAAAAUAGUAGCAGUAGUACUAAAAAUCUCUCAAUUCAUCGGAAGACUAUUUGUUACAGAAACGUCACCUAAACCAAAGAUUUCAGAGUAAUCAAAAUCGCGUCACACAAAGAAGGAAACAAAUUAACCCUAAAAUCGUGAAACUCAACAAAAUACGAAUCUUUUCACAUAUUCCUUACCACCAACCGUCAAGAUUGGUCAAAAACCACUAAUGACACCGACCAUCGCAAGGUUAAAUUGAAACCAAAAGGCAACUAAAGAUGGAACAAAGGUUGUUAUAAAAAAAAUUAACAAAGACUUAUUGCAGCAAAAAUGGCAAAAAAUCAAGAAUAGGGAGAUUGGAAAAAAAUAAUGAAACGGCAAAGAGAAGGAGUGGGAAAGUGACGGCAGUUUGUGGAGAGAUUUUGGGUAAAUAAAAAGUAACUCACCACUCAACCCAUUAAAUCUGAUUACCCUCUAGACAGAUUCCCUUAGAGUUUAAAUUCAACCCAAAUACCGCUACAUGGGCGGCAUAGUGUAAGGAAAUAAAAAUAUUUCUACUUUGCACACACGCGGUCUUGAACACGAAGCCUUAGGGUAAUUUGAAGCCUUACCACUAAAUUAGUAGGCUCAUCCUUGAAAUUAAUUGAACGAAAAUAUUAUUUAUGUCAGAUGAUCAGGGAUAGAGGUUAAGACCAAAGAUGACAAAAAUUCAAAGGAAAGAUUUAAACCUAGAACCUCACACACACAAGCAUAACACCUAUCCACUGAACCAUAUUUACUCCACUGACAUAAUUUUCACAAUAUUAACUAAAAAUUCAGAAUAUGGUCACUCUUGGUUUCACUUACCUAAUUUCUUCUAACCUGAUUUUUGUGAUGUGACAACUCUCCCAUCCUUAAAAGAAUUUCAUCCUCGAAAUUCCUAUUAUGACACCAUACACUUAACUACAAAAUCUAAAAUUCCCUAGUCCAAACCAACCACCAGGCUAUCAUUGUACAACUCUAAUCUCCAUUCAAGUCUGAUCCAGACAAUAUUUCAGAGGAAUUUCCUAUUCACUACCUCGAAUUACCUCAAUAAGCUUUCCACAGAAACAUCACUAAUGAUCCUUUACCCCAGACUCUAAAAAAAUCACUUACCACAAAAUACAGGUACAAACAAUUCUUAUCAAUGCAUAGUACAUUUGGAACAUAUCAUAAAAGUACCUGUAUCAUUGUCAAAUGCAUCACGGCUCGCUUGAUACCUAGUUGCAUAUCCCCAUCUCAAAUUUUGUUUUUAUGUCGAAGCUUGUACCCGUAAAAUAGUGUCAUGAGCAAUCCCAAACUCGAUGCUCAACUGACCUACAUCUAAAACACGCUCUCAUUUUCCUCCAACAAUCGUCCGAAUGGUGCCUAUCACAGUAAGUAUAAAUCAGAAGCUCAACCGCAUUCACAAUUGCCUCACCCCGCUGAAGCCUGUCUAUUUUAGCCCGUUUCCUUGGUCAUGGAUUCAAGUCAAUAGAACCAUCACUCAUCUUAUUUUGCACUUUAUUCAUUACUUAUUCUCUCCCUUGGAGCAAUUACUCUCUACCGCUAACUUGACUUGAUACGCUUGAGGUCACUCAAUCACAGACUCUUGUCUCAUACAUCCAAAUUGGGUUCCAUCGAUCCUUUGCAAAUCUCUAAACACCUCUUGGAACACUGAAACGUCCCCUACUUCUAAACUGCCCUCAGAUUUGGGCGUCAUAGCAAACUUAUUUAUUUUCAAAUUGGGCUUACUGCCCCGAGAAGAGAACUCAACUCGAGUCACCCAGCUACGUCCACCACGCCCUCGCACAUCAUGACCUCGAGUACUCAUUAUACUAAUCUACAGUUUGCGAAAUUUUAUGAAUUAGCUUAGGUUUAUUAAAAAUUAUAAGUCUAGAGUUUUAUCAAAGUUUCUUACAUAAUUACCAUAGUCUUUAGCUAGAGUAGAGUAAUCCUAGCACUUAAGUUUUGUUAGUUUGUCUAGUAUAGCUAAAGUAAAGAUACUUACAGGAUCGACGAUGUAGUUUUGGAUUCUUUUUGAUAGAAUCAAAUAUAAAAAUAAUCAAAAUCUAAAUACCCAUUUUAGAAACCCAAAGUAUAAUAAUUAAUCAAAAAUUCAAUUUAUUUAAAGCAUAUUUAAUGGAGAUUUUCAAACCCAGAAAUCAUAGCCUGAGUUUUGUUACCUUGCUCUGAUACCACUAAAUGUAACACCCAAAACUUGGCUUAGACAUUAUGGCCAAAUCUGGAAGGUUACAUUAGUACGAAAAAAAUGAUUUUUCCAAAGUGUGGUUUGUUACGAAAUUGAAAACCAAAGUUUAUGUAAGUUUGUCAUGAUUCCCCGAUAGGAAAAUUUGUAAAUUAUCAAAACGUAAAUGUGAACAUAUUAAUUAUUAACUUAAAAAAAACCUAGCCUUAUACAAUCAAAAUGCUAAAAUCAUUUGCUUUAUAAAACUUGUAAUUUUGACUAAAAUUUUUGCAACGAAAAUUCCAAACUAAUAUUCGUAAAUUGUAAUUUUGUCAAGUAAAAACGUUUUAUUUAGCCGAUUAGGCAUAUUUUAAAUUUACGUUAUUAAAUUUUGUAAAAUCUCAAUUCGUAUUUUUGUGGCAAAAAAAUCUUGGCUCGUAUAAUUUUGAAAACCCAACAUUGAUUGUUCAGUAACACAAAACAUACAGAACAAAAGACUUUAACUAAGCCAAAGAAACCCAAAGAAAAAUUAAAUUUGAGAAAUUAAACCAAAAUCCAAAAGUCCAAUAAAUCCAUUUAUUAACCAGAGUAAACCAUUUAAUUAGAGAAUCAAUUCGAGCUUCCACACACUGCCCGAUUCUAAGUUAUCGAUUAUUUGAAACAUCAAAAAUAAAACAAAUGGGUGAGCUAUAAAGCUUGGUGCAUAACUAAAACUCAAGCCGAGAUCACACACAAUACAAUAUACAAAUCAUAAAAUCAUAGGAAAUUUCAUAACAAUCAGUCAAACAAAAUUGAGCAUACAUGAUUAUGCCAAUGCGGUAGUUUUCAGAAAAUCAUAAUGCAAAUUUUUUCAGAAAACAUCCUACCCAACACCACCACACACCCAAAUAUAGUUUCCCAAAACUCGUCCAUCUAAAAACACACCAAUUAAGUCAUCUCAGGUCGCCCGAAAGCGAUAACCUACAACCUCGAGUUAGUCGGCAAUGAUGACUUAUCAAUUUGCAGUUAAACUACUAGAUCAGAUAUUUGUGGUCAAGCGAUUGUACUGCAACUCAGCUGCCAGAUUAAAUGUUCCUAGUGUAGUCCCUAACAUUAUCAGGUGUUCUCGGCUCAGUCCUUUGGACAUUAAAAAAAAUAGAUUUGGAUAUGCAAUUAAUCAUAAAUUGCCAGGUGGUAUAUGUUAAAGUUACGAUAACAUCAUCAUCAAGAAAAAAACCAAAAAAAUCUUUAAAAAAUUUCAUAAAAUUCAAAUAAACUUAUAUAAAAUUAACUACAUUAUAAAUAUAUAAUUGUUAAAAAAUAAAAAUUCUUAAUUAUUUUAAAAUUUGUAAAAAAUAAUAAAAUUAUUAGAAAUUGUUAAAUAUUGUAGAAACAUUAUAAAAAUUAUUAGAAUCAUAAAAGACGGUAAAAAAUAAAAAGUUAAAAUACUAGUAAAAAUUGUCUAACUUGAAAUAAAGUAUACAUUUGGUAAUCAAAUUUAAAAUAUUGAAAAUUUAAUAUUAAAGUUGUAUAAUUUUUAUAAAAAAUAUUUUAAAAUAUUUUAAUAAAAAUUGAAUAAAUUUUAUAUCUAUUUUUUAAUAUUUUAAAAUACAUCAAUUUUCAGUACUUUACCAACGUUACUGGCAACAAGUUUUUUCGACUUGACUCCCUAUUUAUUGUCUUAAGUAGCUUCCUGCAUCCACCAUUUUGCACAUGGUUUUUCUAUUUUAUACCAAAGCUCUUUAGAAUAGUUAAACAUUCGACAAUAGUUCUUAAGAUAUUAGUUUAGAGACAAAUAAUUAUCUUGAGAUAGUAAAAAAAAAAGAAAUAAUUAAAUAUAUUAUUUACUUGAAAUAAUAUUAUUUUUCAUUAUUUAAAUUAUUUGAGAAAAAAACUUAUUCAAGUUUAUCACGUAAAAAGAUCUACCAAUUAUAAAUUUUGAUUAGUUGAACCAUAAGACAAUUGUUAUAGGUAGUAUCAUUCCAAGAGACAAUUAUCACAUGUUCAAACUCUAGUUAAUGUGAUUUAUAAAAUUUUAAAAAUAUUAAAAUAUCUAAUAUAUUUUUGAAAUUUAUGUAAAUUUUUAUAUUUUACACAGUUUUUUUUUCUAUUUUUAAAUAAUUUUGAUAAUUUUUCUUUUAUAAUUUUUGUCAUUUUUGAAGAUUCUUUAAGGGUUUUUGUUGAUGAUUUCAUUAUGAUAUCAUCAUACGACAUGUGGUAGUAUAUGAUUUGUUGAAUAUUCCAAAGAAUUUUUUAUUGACCAAUGAACUAAACUAAAAAUUUUUAAUAACAUUAGGGACUGAAGUGGAUAAAAAUAUUUUAAAAACUAAAGUUAAAAAAGUGAUAUACUUGCAUUAACAUUUUCUAAAAGAUGGAAGUGUUUUUCUGUUUUAAGGGAAUAGAAUUUUUUUGAGUGAAUAUAGUUUUGUGAGGGAGUAGUGAUAUUAUUAUUAGAGACAAGGCAUUUGAUUUUUAUAUAACUUUUUAAUUAAGUCAAUAUCACUCAUCGAGUAAAACCCAACAUAUUAAGCACAUUAUUAUACUAAUUUAGAUUAAUAGGAAUCAUCAAAUUUACAAUUAAGGAUUAUAAAUUUAUUUAAUUCCAAUCUUCUACCUUUUCUAAAUUAUAAGAAUGGUUUUGCCUUAUAUUUUCUUCAAAUUGAGAUUUAAUUUAUAAUUUUAAUUUUGAUAUAAUUUAGUUUAUCAAUUUUUAUAAUGCAAUUAAUUAGUUAAUACUUUAUUUUAAUCAAAAUAAUUAUAUUAAUUUUAAAGAAUUAUUAUCACCGUUAAAAUUCUUUACUAACAAUGAUUUAAAAUUAAGUUCUAUUGCUUUUGUUUUAGAUUACACAUAAAUGUUUACAAUAUGAAAUUCUUUAUAAUUUUCAAUACAUAUUACUUAAAUAAAUAGAAAAUAGAGUUUUAAUAAUGCACAACCAAAUAAAUUUUAGGGUAAACGACCAAAAUAGUCACUUUUGUUUGCCUUAGGUUACAUUUUAGUCACUUAUGUUUGAAAUGUUACGUUUUAGUCACUUACGUUAUCGUGUUGUAACAUUUUAGUCACUGAGUCAUUAAUUGUCGACAAUGGUGUAAUGGUAAGUUGAUGUGGCACGUUAAAUCAUCAUUUCAAACGAAAUUUUUAGGUUAAAUUCUACAAUUGGUCCCUAUAUUUUUCAUUUUCAACAAUUUAAAAAAUUUCUUUUAUGUUCUUCUAACUUUUUUUUUUCCAUUCUCUUAUGCUUCUCCCUCUAUUUUCCUCCCUUCUUCAUUUCUUUUAACAUAGUUUUUCUAUGAUUUCCAUUUGUAACUAGUCCACAAGCUCGCCUCACUCGAAAAAAUUAAAUUGUUCAAAAAAUAAAACAUAGAAUAACUACGUUGAAAGAAAUGGAGAAGGGAGGAAAACAAAGGGAGAAACAUAAGAGAAUGGAAAAGAAAGAAAGUUAAAAAAACAUAAAAGAAAAAAUUAAAUUGCUCCAAACGAAAAAAUAUGGGGACCGAUUGUAUAAAUUAACCUAGAAUUUUUGUUUGAAAUGAUGAUUUAACGUGCCACAUCAGUUUACUGUUACACCGUUAAUAGAAACUAACGGCUCAGUGACUAAAAUGUUACAACGUGAUAACAUAAGUGACUAAAACGUAACAUUUCAAACAUAAGUGACUAAAAUGUAACCUGUGCCAAACAAAAGUGACUAUUUUGGUAGUUUACCCUAAAUUUUAUUGAUGUUCUAUUAUUUUGAUUUCUUAGACUUGUAUAUAGGGAAAAUAAAGGACUAUUGCCAUUUAAUUGCUUUAAAACAAUUUUAAUGAGCUCUAGUCAUGCAAGAUUACCAUUAAAUAGAAUACUCAUAUAGAAGGAUUUACUAUUUUUGUUUCUCAAAUCACAACUAAUAAUUGUUCAUAAUUUCUUAUUUAGUGUCAUUUUUAAGAUUUAUUAGAUGACAAUUUUUCAUGCCAAAGUUUUAUUUUUAUUUCAUUUAAAGUUUUACAAUAUUUAAAAAAUUAUAUAUUUUGUAAAUUUGACAUUUAAUCAAUUUUAGAUCUAAAAAGUAAUAAUGAUUUCAACCCAAGGCCUGAGCUAGGAAUAGUUUUAGUUUGGAGUACUAUAUAUAUAUAUAUAUACUAAAAGAUGCAAUUUUUAUAAAUAACUUACAAAUCUAUCAUUAAAUCAAAUACUGGUAUGAAAUGGUUUAAUUAUUUGAUCACAUUUUUCCAUGACAAAAUUUUAUUUUUAUAUGAUUUAAAAUUUUACAAUUUUUAUAUUGUGAAUUUGGUGUACUAAAAGAUGUAAUUUUACAGGUAAUUUUAAUACCCAUCACCAGUGCUGCAAAGCUUGAGAUUCUUUUAUUGUGGGGAAAUAAACUUAGUGGAAACAUUCCCAACUCUAUCUCCAAUGCUUCCAUGCUUAAGAAACUAGACUUGGCAGAUAACUUAUUCUCUGGCCCAAUCCCUAAAACUUUUGACAACUUAAGACACGUUGAAUGGUUCCAAAUUUCAAACAAUAAUUUGAUCAAAAGACCUGCUACUGAUCAUGAGUGGACCUUUCUUUCUUCUUUGGCAAAUUGCAAGCAUUUGAGAAUAAUAGAUGUUUCAAGAAAUCCAUUGAGUGACGUUCUUCCAACUUAUAUUGGGAACCUUUCAAAAUCCCUUCAAUACUUUUAUGCAUCUAAUUGUGAGAUUACAGACAAUAUUCCUAUGUAAAUAGGUAGCUUAAGCAACCUAUUACUUUUACAACUUGGCUAUAAUAAAUUAAGCUUUAUUCCAACACCGAUAGGAGGACUGCAAAAUUUGCAAGGUUUACAACUUUCCUCUAAUAAAUUAGAGGGGCCUAUAUCAGAAAGCCUUUGUGGUUUGGAGAGAUUAUACUACUUGUAUUUAAGGCUGAUUAGGUUGCAUGGAUCCAUACCCUCUUGUUUGGGUAAUAUUUCUUCUUUGAGAUAUCUUUACUUAGAUUCCAACACAUUGAGUUCUACAAUACCCUCAACUUUGUGGAAUCUUAAAGAUAUCUUAGAAAUAGAUUUAUCAUCAAACCAUCUUUACAAUUCACAUGCUAUAUUGAUGUUGGAGAUUUGAGGAGUCUACUAAAACUAAAUUUAUCAAGGAAUCUUCUCAUGGGCAAUAUCUUCUCCACAUUUAGGGGUCUUCAAAUUUUGAUUUCAUUAGAUUUAUUAAAUAAUAUACAACAUGGCCAUAUCCCUGGAUCAUUAGGUGGUUUGAUUAGUUUGGAAUUCUUGAAUUUAUGAAAUAACAAUCUCUCUCGAGCCAUUCCCAAAUCUUUGGAAAAGCUUUUAGAUCCAAAGUAUUUUAUUGCGUCUUUCAAUAGACUUGAAGGGGAAAUUCCCGCCAAAGGAUGUUUUUCAAACUUCUCUAGCACAUCAUUCAUGAAGAAUUUUGCACUUUGUGGUCCACCUAGAUUGCUAGUCCCACCUUGCAAAAACAAUAUCCAAGAAAACUCCCAAAUGAAUAUAUUGCAUGCUUUAAGGUAUGGUUUACCAACAGUUGGUAUUGUUGUAGUACUAAUAGUCUUAACUAUUGUAAUCACUGAAUUUUGUCCGGCUCGAUUUGGUUUUUUUUAAAAUUUUUUUUUAAAUACAAAAAAUAAAAAAUUGUAUUUUGACCCCUAAACUUUUUUUAAAAUUACAUUUUACCCCUAAACUUUCUCAAAAUUACAUUUUGACCUCUAAACUUUCUCAAAAUUAUGUUUCGACCCUAAUACUUUUCCUGCAUUUGCAGUUUAGUCCUUCUGGCAGCAACUUGCACACCUACCCCCGUGAUUUCCGGCCACUGGCCUAGGGCAUGGCCUCCCUCUCCCCUAGCCACCUAAUCCCUGCAAAAAGGAAGAAAAAACAGCUAUAAAAUGGGUUAAAAAACCCCAAAAAUCGGACCCCCCACGAAAAAAUAAAAAAAAAACUUGCAAAAAAGAGAAAAAGAAGAGGAAAAAGGAGAGAAAGAGAGGAGAAAGGAGAAGAAGAGGCCGGCCAUCGGCGAACCACUGGCAGCAGCACGAGCAGCGACGUCGACGGCGGCGAAGGAGACCGAACGGAGAAGAAGAAGGAGAAAAGAGAAGAAAAAGAGAAAGAAGAAAGGAAAAAGAAGAAGGAAGAAAAAGAAAAAAAGAAAAAAUAUUUUUUUUAACAGUCGGGUCAAACCGACCCGACCCAACUCUGACCCGAACACCGCGACCCGACCCGGCACCUGCAUACCCAGGCCAAGCCCAGCAGCCUAAAGAAAAAACAAAAAAAGAGGCAAAAGCAAAAAAAGAAAGAAAGAAAAGGAAACAGGCCAAAAACAGCCCAAGCGCAGGCCCAAACCAACGCCAGGCCCAACAGCAGGCCUAGCAGGCCAACCAACCCAACGCUAGGCCCAACAGCAGGCCUAGCAGGCCAGCCAGCCCAACGCCAGCAGCAGGCCCAAUAGCACAGGCCCAAAAGGCAGCAGGCCAAAAAAAAAGAAGAGAAAGAGAAAAAAAAAGAAAAAAGAAAAAAAGAGAAAUAAAAGAAAAAAAGAAAAAAAAAAGAAGAAAAAAGGGGUUUCAAUUUGAACAACCCGUUCGGCGAAGCUCGUGUUUUAGAUUUUUCGGUAAUUUUAUUUAUUUCUCUUUUAAUUUAAUGCUCGUAUUUUUAUGUUAUUUCAUUUUAAUAUUAUUAGCAUUUUAUGCAUUUUUUAUAUUUUUAUAUUUUUGUAUUUAUAUUUUCAAUUUAAUUCAAUUUUAAUUUUAUUUUAUUUUAAAUAAUUUUAAUAAAUAAGGCAACGGAUCGAUUUAUCAUAAAAUUGUUGAUUUCAUCGCUAUGUUGGGUGAAUAUCACCGGUUUGUGUUAAACUCGAUACGCUCUUUUAAAAAUAAAAAAUAUUCAAAAAAAUUGUAUUUUCAAAAAAAAAUCCUCGGGUUUCGAAAUUUGCGUGUCUUCAAAAUAAUUUCUCGUGUUUUCAAAAAUAAGGUAACGAAUCUAUUUGACACUAAUUCGUUGAUUUCAUUGCUAUGUUGAGUGAAUAUCACUGACUAGUGUUAAAUAUGAUACGUGCUUAAUAAAAAAAUCAGAAAAUUUUUCGUGUUUUCAAAAAUUUCCGUGUUUCAAAAAUUUUCAUGUUUUCAAAAAUUCUCGUGUUUUCAAAAAAAUUCCAAUUUUCAAAAUUUUUCGUGUUUUCUAAAAACUUCUGUGUUUCAAAAAUUUUCGUAUUUUAAAAAUUUUUGUGUUUCUAAAAUUUUCGUAUUUCAAAAAUUUUCUUGUUUUCAAAUUUUUCGUAUUUCAAAUAUCCUCGUGUUUUCAAAAAAUUUCGGUGUUUUGAAAAUUUUCUUGUUUUUCAAAAAAAUCUCGUGUUUCAUAAAUUUUUGUUUUUUUUUAAAUUGUGUUUCCAAAAUUCUCGUGUCUAAAAAAAAUUCUCGUGUUUUAAUCGGAUCAGGAUUAAAUAUUAAAUUGAACUCGUAUUUUUGAAAGUGAAGACAACUCGCAUUUAACGAGAUACCAAUUUCGGGCGUCGCGAGGGUGCUAAUACCUUCCUCGCGCGUAACCGACUCCCGAACUCUAAUUUUCUCUGGAUUUUCACGUAGACCAAAAAUUACCUCUUUUUUAGAAAAAUUUAAAAAAUAAAUUUUCCUUCUAAAAAGAGAAUUUAUUAGGUGUCCAAUCACACCUAGGAAAAAAAAGAUCGGUGGCGACUCCUUUUUCAAAUAAAAUCGAAACACCGUUUUCAAAUUUUCAACAAUCAUUUCGAUUAGCGCCCGUGCACGAAAUUUUUAGGUCGCUACAACUAUUAUGUAUAGAAGAUGCCAAAGUAGGAGUACAACUCUACCAAUUCAGGAUGAUUUGUUUUCUUUGAAAACGCUGAGUGGAAUUUCACAUGCUGAACUUUCACAAGCAACUAAUGGAUUUGAGGAAAACAAUAUGCUUGGUUCAAGGAGUUUUGGAUAUGUAUAUAAAGAAAGGCUUUCAGAUGGAAUGGAAGUUGCAAUAAAAGUUUUCAAUUUGCAAACAGAAGAAGCAUUUGGGAGCUUUGACAUUGAAUGUGAUGCUAUGCGAAAUAUAGAUCAUCAUAAUAUUGUGAAGGUCACUACUUACUGCUCAAGUGUUGACUUCAAAGCCUUGGUGCUUGAUACAUGUCUAAUGGAACUACAGAGAAAUGGUUAUAUUAUUAAAACUAUUUCCUUGAUAUCAUACAAAGGGUUGACAUAAUGAUAGAUGUUGCAUCAGCUAUAGAACAUCUCCACAACGGGCAUCCAACACCUAUAAUUCAUUGUGACUUAAAACCAAGCAAUAUUUUACUAGAUGAAGACAUAGUUGCACAUGUGGGAGAUUUUGGCGUUGCCAAAUUGUUGGGAGAAUGUGAUGUAAUGAAGCAGACCAUGACUCUUGCAACAAUCGGGUAUAUGGCACCAGGUGAAUUUUUUAUUUUUGUAUUAUUAUUUGUCUAAUAUGCAUUUUAUAUUUUGUUUCAUCUGUAUGUGGAUAUAUAUUUGAAUAAUCAUUUUAGAAAUAAUUAAAGAUUAAUGAUGCUCUAAUUUUACUUGAAAUGCAAAAUUUGGAUCAACGGGAAUUGUUUCUAUAAAAUGUGACAUCUAUAGUUAUGAGAUUGUCCUUAUACAAACUUUCACAAAGAAAAAGUCAACUGAUAAUUUUUUUGCUGAAUAAGUGACUAUAAAGCAUUGGAUGGGAAGUUCAUUGCCAAAGGAGCAUGAAAAUCCCCAAAACCUAAAUUCUUUCCUUCUAGCAAUGAAGAGAUGGUGAGGGGAAGGGGAAAAAAUCACGUUAAAUGAAAAGAAAAAGAAAAAGAACAAAAUUAAAUUUGACGUGAAAAUUAUUUUAAUACUUUUAAUUUGAGUUGGAAAGGUUGAUGAUGUAGCAUAAAAUAAUUGGAUAGGACCAUAUUUGAGGUAGUGGGUGUAACACCCCUUACCUGAGACCGUCGCCGGAAUCGAGUACGAGAUGUUAUCCAAUUUAACUUACCAAUUUGGAGCAUAAAAAUUUGCUUUGUAAAUUACUUUCACAAUUUACAGCAAAGCUGUCCACCUGCGCGACUGUCACUAAUUUAAUUAUAACUCGAGUUACGAAACUCGAAAUUUAAAUCCGUAAAUUUUCCAUGAAACUAGACUCAUAUUUCUACGUACCAUAAAAUUUUUAGAAUUUUUGACUUAUCCAAUUAGUACAGUUUAUUCAUUAAAGUAUCCCCUGUUUCACAACUUGACAGAUCUGACCUCUUGGCACUAAAAAUCAAUUAUCUCACUGUACAAAAUUCAUAUAAGGUUAUCAUUUAUUUCUCUUGAAAAUAGACUCACUAAGGAAUCUAGAAAUAUAAAUUAUGACCCAUAAUUCUUUCUGUACAAUUUAUAAUGAUUUUCUAAAGUCAGAACAGGGGACUUUAAAAACCAUUCUGACCCUGUCUCACUAAAAUUCAAAUAUCUCAAAAUAUACAAUUCCUUUGCCUACACCGUUUCUUUCAUAUAAAAAUAGACUUGAUAAGCUUUAAUUCCAUCUAUAAUUCACUCUCUAAUUCCAUUUAUACUAUUUAUGGUGAUUUUUCACAUUCACGUCACUGCUGCUGUCAAAAAAACUGCUUCUUUAUAUUAGUUCCAUUUACACAUACAUACCACCAAAACAUAAUCUCUACUAACCACUUCAAUAGCUAAUCUUAGCCAUAUCAUAUGAACAUACUCAAAAUGAUUAAGACUCUAUACAUGCCAUAGUUUAAACAUUUUGGAAAGCACACAAUACCGAGAUGAUUAUGAUAGUGUGAUACGAGCUCCGACGAUCCCCAAUUCGAUCAAGUUCAAAUCACUAUAAAACAAAGGAAAUAAGAAAAUGUGUAAGCUACAAUUAGCUUAGUAAGUUACAUGUAAAUAAUAGAUACUCAUUUAAUAAUUAACACUUUUAACUUAUAACUAAUCAAAACAUUUCUUGGCAAUUUCAAUCACUUACACAUGCACAAUCUUACCAUUUCACUUACAUAUACAUUUUCACACUUAACCUUUACCACUUUUGAUCAUUAUUUCAAUUGUACCUGCAUACACACUUCAUUUCAUAUUCACUUUAACACAUUAUUAAUCCCGUUGAACACUUGGAAUAUACACGGAUACAUAGAGAUUUAGCACAUAAGUGCCACACUGAUAUGUAGCCGAAGCUACCACUGAUAUGUAACCGAAGUUACCACUGAAUGUAGCCGAAGCUACCACUGGGAUGUAACCGAAGCUACCACUGAUCAAUAACACUGGAAAUGUCCACGGGCCUGCUCACACAAGCUGUCAGGUGUCUGCAACACAUGCUAGAUCACCCAGCACCCGGGACUCACUGUAACACUGUAACACUGGUCUCUAGUGACAUGUCACUUGUAUCCAUUUCUAUUCCUAAGUUCAACUGGGAAUUUACACUUAACACUUUAUUUUCAACACUUUAUCACUUGAAUAAUUCAUGAAUAUUUUUCCUUCCACAUUCAAUAUUGAUUCACAUAUCAAUAAAAUUCACAAUUUAUAAAAAUGUAUUACUAUUAUUUACACAUAACUUACCUCGGAUGCAAAACGACUAUUUCUGUAAUUUAGUCGAUAACUUUCUCUUUUCCCCGAUCACUUGCACUAUUUCUUCUUUCUUGAUCUAUAUUAACACAAUUUAAUACAUUUUAUCAACAUUUCAUUCAAAUACAAUUCAUACACAACAUUUUGGCAAAUUUACAUUUUUCCCCAAAACUUUUCAAAAAUUUCACUUUUGUCCCUAAGCUCGUAAAAAUAAAAUUCACUAAAUUCUUAAAUUUCAAACUUCACUAAAUCAUAUUUCAUGCUCAUAACAGCCCUCAAUUUCACAAAAUCACAACUUUAUGCACACUUUACCAUCUUUCACAAUUUAGCCCUUUUUCAACAUUUUCAUUGAAAUUCAUCUAGUAAAACUUGAAAUUAACACUUCAAACAUUCAUUAUCUAACAUCACUAAUCACUUUACAAUUAUAUCAUGAAUGGGUCAAUUUUUAAACUUUAAUUUCACUUAAAUUAAAUGGUAGAAACAUGAAAUUCAAGCAUCAAUAAGCAUAAAAAUACGAAAAUAAUUAAAAACGGGGCAAGAAAUCACUUACAAUUGAGCUUAGAAAAAUCAAAACCCUUAGCUAUGGUAACAUGAAACUUUCGGCAGCAAGCUUCUGAUUUUUGAAGAAGAUGACACUUAUUUUCUCUUAUUUUGUCUUUUUGGACAAAAAUGCCCUUGACCCAUUACUUAGAUAUUUUUCUAGAAUUACCCUUUUGUGUCCAUAUCACUAAUUUAUGGUCUAAUUGCCACAUAAACACUUCCAAUUUCAUGCAAUAAUUCAAUUAAGUCAUUUAAUCACUAAUUAGACACACUUUGCAAUUUUCUCGAUUUAGUCCUAAAAAUUCAAUUAGGCACUAAAUCAUUAAAAUUUCCUAUCCAUAUUUUCACACAAUAUUUCAAUCAAUCAAUAACUAAUAAAAAUUUAUAAAAUUAAAAUAUUUCACUUCGGAUUUGUGGUUACGAAACCACUAUUCCAAUUAGGCCCUAUUUCGGGCUAUCACAGUGGGAAAGGUCCAUGAAAUAAUUUUUCUAUGUUAUCAAAUAGAUGAAUGAUGGUUAUUGGGAUCAAACUAAUGAUUUUGAGGAUGUUAAUGGUUAAUUUGGUGGAGAGGGUGGAAAAGAAACAAAUAAUUCAUUAUAUGUCAUAUAAUUAUGCAAUUCAAGUUGUAAUACCCAAAUUUUACCCGGCCUACAAAAACAGUCCAAAUUACAAUGGGCUUAUGUGGCCCAAAACCUGAAAUGAACAGAGGCCCAAAACAAUGGCCCAAAACAAUGUCAGAAACUCCUAGGGUUUCUAAGGAAACUUUCCCGCCGCAGCCACCAAGCACCACGAGCCGAAAUCUUCACCUGCGCAGAAACAACGGAAAUGGCAAGAAAAUCAAAGAUUGCGAAUCAAAUAUGAGCAAGAUUUGAUUCUUUAUAUUAUUAUUUUCAUUAUGGCUAUAAAAUAGCCAUUGAUAUGCUGUAAAAAAGGAGGGGAAGACCAAAAGAAAUACAAAGACCAAUAGGAAAUUUUCUUUUUUUUGAAAUACAAAGGUUUUCUUUUCUGUUUUACCUCAUUGUCGAUUAUUGUUCUUUUAUUUUUUCAUUUAUACAUAUACAUAUUUGAUUUUUUAUAGUUUCUCUAUUUUUUUUAUUUAUUUUUGCUUAAAAUAUAAAGAAAAGAGGAGGGAUUUUACCUUUUUUUCGUCGAAGUUGUCGAACGGUGGCCAUCUCCGUCGCGAUCGGAGUGUUGGCACAGGCGAACAGCGGCGCAAAAGGGGUUAAGAAAAAACCCUAGCAGAGCAUUUGUGUUUUUUUUGUUUUUUUUUAUGUGGGUUAUUGAUUUUUAUUUUUUUAAAGAAUUUUCGUUUAAAUAACAUUAGCAAAACGACGCCGUUUUAGGGGAGCAGGAUCCGCGCGUUGACCCGACCUGCAGGCAGGGUGCACGUUCUGGCCUUGAAUGGGGUAUUUGUGCAUUUAGUCCCUCCUCUUUGCGACGCACUUCAAUAAAACCCAUUUUUCUUUUUCUUUUUUUAAAUUUAGCGGCAUAUUUCAUUUUUGUUUCAAUCGAGUCCGUCACUGCGCAGCGUUUUGGAAGUCGGAAUUAAUUUCCCUUUUGGUCCUCUAUUGUUGCUUGCGCAUUCAAGUUGGUCCCUUCUUUAUAUUUAUUGCUAAUUUGCCCCAUUUUUUCGCUUUUAGUUCAGUUUAGUCCAUUUUUUUAGCUAUUUCAUUAUUUAGUUAUUUUUUUAUUUAUUAUUAUUAUUAUUAUUAUUAUUAUUAUUAUUUCUAAAUUUAUACACGCAUUUUUUUAUGGUAUAUAUAUAUAUGCAUUUUUUUUGUAUAAUAUAUAUUUUUUAACUUUUAUAAAUACAUGCAUAUACUUCAUACAUAUUUGUUUAUUAUUAUUUUGAUUUCAAAACUUUUAUAUACUUUAAAUUUUAUAUACAUACAUAUACAUUUUAUAACACAUAUACAUUUUCCACGUUUUAUAAUUUAAAAUACACAUACAUUUUCUAUAAUAUAUUUAUGUAUACGUUUUUAUUCUUUAUAUUUUUUUUGGUUUAUUUCCUUCGUCUAUUCAUUGAUUUAGGUUUUCAUUUACAUUUUAAAAGAAUGUCCUUUUUUUAUAUUGCUUAUUCAUUUUAUAUUUUUGCAUUGUCAUUGUUUAUUUUUUUAUUUUAUAUUAAUUUCGUUUAUUUACUAUUUAUAUUAUUUCUAUACAAUUGUCGUAUUUAUUAUUGCAACAUUUAUACAUACAUUCCAUAUAACAUUACAUCAUCUUUUACUCGAAUUUAAAAAUAGAAAAUUUUCAAAAUAGAGAUAAUACUCGUAUUUAGGAUUUUCAAGAAAAUUGAGCCCUAACGUAUUGGGUUCCGAUUUUCUUCGUUAAAUCUAACAAUCGAGAAUUGCUCUUUGAUAAAAAAUAAAAUAAAAACUUGUCAUCGGGAAUUCAAUAUGUUGUGUCCUAACAUAUUGGAUGUGAUGCGUUGAUUUCUCGAGAUAAAGAUUUUCUAAACAAUAAAAGAAAUAUUCAAUGUUUGGGAUUUUAAGAAAUUGUGCCUUAACGUAUUGGGCUGUGAUUUCUUCAUAAAUUUUAAACAAUUAAAUAUUUUCUUAAAUUUUAUUACACGAGUUUUUUGGACCAGCUCAUCUUAAAAAGAAUAAAAUAUUGUGCCCUAACGCAUUGGGUGUGAUAUUUUCUUUUUUCAAAAUGAGAAAGUCUUAACAAAAAAUUUAAUUUAACUAAGGAUCGUAUUUAUUAACUCUCGACAUUAAGACACUGAUUAAUCAACUCGGUACCAAUUUUUGGGUGUUACGAGGGUGCUAAUCCUUCCUUGCACGUAAUUUACUCCUAAACCCGUUUUUUAAAACUCGUAGGCCAAAGUCGUUUUUUGGUGAUCCAAUCACACCUUAAUAAAAGAUUGGUGACGACUCCAAUUUUCAUCGACAACUAAUUUUUGUUUUUUUUCAAAAUAAAAAUGGUUUCGACAGCUUGGCGACUCCGCUGGGGACACAUACGAGAGUCGAGCCACAAAGUUGAUUAAUUUCUGUCUUAUUGGCGAGAAAAUAAAUUUUUUUAAAAAAAUCAUGAAAUCAUUGUGCAUUCAUUCAUUUUCUUGCUUAAUUGAUCUUUGCAUUAUACAUUACAUGAGUUGAAUGAUUUUACCCUUCUAAGUGGGAGUGAGAAACUAUUCCUUCGUGAGGUUUUCACCUCCGUAUAGGAUAGUGGAUCGCUUUCGGGAUACAUCUGUACCUAUGCCUUCUUGAGAUUUUCAUCUUCGUAUAGUCAUAGGGAAAAUGUAUUCCCCUGAACCGAACUUGAUCUAUAUGAGCCUAUAAUGGGUGAAGAUUGAGGAAUCUGCUGGUUUGGGUACCUUUGCCCUAGAAGUCAAACCACAUAUAGUGAACCUUAGGAACUUGCCCUAGGUAGGGAUAUGCCAAACCCCUAGUGGUCACCCGAAUAGGUUUUCUAUUUAUUCUUGCUUUAGCUUUGUACCAACCUGUUUUCUUUUUGGUUGUGAUUGCAUUGCAUUUUCAUCAUAAAAAAAGAGAGAGGUGUUGAUUCACAUUCAGUUGCUAAAUAGAUAGCUUGUCAUAAGAAAAUGAGUUUCUUGAUAAAAUGGAUGAUAAUAUGGUUGUCCGAAUAUGGUCCAAGAAAUGUGAUAAGAGAAGGAUGAUAGUUUAAUGGAGGACUACACGACUAUGGCUCCAUUGCCCAAGGAUUCAAGAUAACAAAGAUUAUUCGAGAGCCGCUAAACUUUCUUAAAGAGAAACCAACAAGCAUCACAAGGAUGAGUGAGCAACAAAUUGCGGCCUGGAUCAAGCAAAAAGGAGAUAGAAGAGACUUCCUUUUUGAAAAGUUCGUGAGAUUUAUCUUAACGCUUGAAUGAAGAAGAGGAUCGAAUGUCUUCGCCUAUGAGGGCAAGGCUGUAUAAAUAUUCAUUUUAUGUAAAGAGAUUUGUUUUCUAGUAAAGUUCUCUAAAUGGAAUUGAAUCAGAAUCAACGUCCCUUUAUGCAUUCAUUUCCUGCAUUCGCAUUACAUGAUAUCAUAGCAUUAAAAUCCACUAAAAGAUUCUAAUUAAUAUAAAUCAUUCCUCAGUUAAUCUGGAAACCAACCAACCCAUCACACACCACUACGGUACUCGAUCAAAAACUAAAGACAUGGACCAAAGGAUGGAAAGGUUAGAACAGUUCCAAAAAGAAAUGCAGUAUCAACUUCAAUAACAAAUGAAUGAACAACUUGAGAAAAUUCAGCAAAAAAUGAUGGACAAAAUGAUGGAAUCUCAAGAGAGUAUGAUGGCUCAAUUAACUCAGUUGUUGACCAGAGGAACUAAUAAAGGAAAAGGCUCUGUGCUCAAUAUGGAAGAAGGAGACAGUGAGGGACUUCUUUAUCCUCCAGGCUUGACCCCUCAGCAUGGGCAGACCCAAGUAGAGGUAUAUCCGCACAAAUCCUCUAUCACCAUCAAGCCUCAGCAGUUUCAGGCCGGUGCUGUAACACCAAUGAAUUUUCCAGCUAGAUCAGGCCCUAACCCCAGAGACGACCUUGUUAAUCCUGAUAUCCCUGACUUCGAUGAAACAGCUGAAAAAGAGAAAAUGAAUGGUGAAUUGCCAAAACAGCUCGAAGAAAAGUAUAAAUGGCUGGAGGAAAAACUUAGAGUGAUGGAAAGUACUAAGAGCUACCAUGGAAUUGACACUAAAGAAUUGAGCUUGGUUCCGGAUUUAGUACUCCCUUAUAAAUUCAAAAUUCCUGAGUUUGAGAAGUACAAUGGAACUAAUAGCCCCGAAGCUCAUAUUACCAUGUUUUGUAGGCGGAUGACUGGGUAUGUUAAUAAUGACCAACUGCAUAUACAUUGUUUCCAGGAUAGCCUUGCAGGGGCAGCAUCCAAGUGGUACAACCAACUGAGCCGUACCAAGAUUAAUUUAUGGAGAGAUUUAGCAUAGGCAUUCAUAAAGCAGUACAAUCAUGUAACUGACAUGGUACCUGAUAGAAUCACUCUACAGAACAUGAAAAAGAAGCCUGGUGAAAGUUUUAGGCAGUACACACAGAGGUGGAGGAGGUCGCAGUCCAAGUUCAGCCACCGCUUCUGGAAAAGGAAAUGACAAUGCUAUUCAUAAAUACAUUGAAAGCUCCGUUCAUCACACAUAUGUUAGGGAGUGCUACAAAAAGCUUUUAUGGCAUAAUCAUGAAUGGUGAAAUGAUUGAAAGCGCCAUAAGGAGCAGAAAAAUUGAUGCUGGAGGGAAUAACAGAAGGCAAGCCUCAAAAGAAAAAGAAAAUGAGGUGAACAGCGUGAAUACGUACAGAAAAUCGAUUGCUAAUCAGUAGGGUUCAUCAAGACAAGAAUCAUGUGUGAAGCAAGGUACUGAAAAACUCUAGUUCACUCCAAUUCCAAUGUCGUACAAGGAGCUGUAUCAAAGCUUAUUCGAUGCGCAUAUUGUUUCUCCUUUACAUGUGAAGCCUCCACAGCCUCCGUAUCCCAAAUGGUACGACGCAAGUGCACAAUGCGAUUAUCAUGUGGGAAUUACGGGACACUUAAUAGAGAGUUGCAUUACCUUCAAAAAGCUAGUUGAAAAAUUCAUCAACAUGGGUAUCGUCAAGUUGAAUGGCUCAUUUAAUGCAGAAAAUUUACUACCCAAUCAUGAUUGACAAUGGGGUGAAUGCAAUAUAUGAAGAGAUGUUAGGAAGUGUUCACAUCAAUGACAUAUAGGAAUACACAAAUGAAAGGGGGACCUUGUUAGAUAUCCGCCCUUAUAAAUCUGGGAGUGUUUAAAAUAAUUGGAUUGCGGAAGAAAUAUCUAUAGUCUUUAGAGCGUAUUUAGAGUAAUGUUCAGAACAUUCUUGUUGUUUUUAGCCUAAAAAUGAUAGGAAUUCCUUUGUGAAAUAGACUCAUGUCUGAUGAUCAUUAUUAUAAUAAAAUACAUCUUUGUAUUUAUUUUUGAGCCAACAUUCUUUCAUUCUUUGCGAGUAAUUAUUUUGUCAUUCUUUUGGAUUUUCUUCCACAUCAUUCUUUCAUUCAUAAUUAUAUUAAAAAAAUAAUUAUUCGUAAAUUCACACAUUCUUUUGCGCUUACUAUGGGACCCCAAAUAUCAAUGACAUGAGUGACGCUGUACUGACUCAAAAUCUCCUUCUGAGCGAGACAUGUGUUUAAAGGGAUCUCAUGACUUUGAAGAUGACAUAGAUCGUAGCCUAUUUCUGGACCUAUUAAGGAUGGUAGAACAAGUCGAGAAACGAAUCUUACCCUACAAAGAAUCAUUGGGAUAUAUGACUUCUCCUUAUGUGGGGCAUGAAGGUCAUUUGGUCGAUCUCGCCAAAAGAGUCUGACGGUCAUUGAUUCAUCUUUGUGAUCGUCAAUUACUUUACUAAAUGAGGGGAAGCUGCUUUAUAUGUCAAUGUCACAAAGUUGACAGUUAGCAAAUUCUUGAAGAAUCAUAUGGAACGUCAAAAGGAUCAUAUCUGACAAUGUACUAAAUUUGAGCAACAGCACAAUAUCAAAAGUUUGCAGUCUAUUCACGAUUAAUGCCAUAUCACCAAAAAAGAUGGCGCAAAAAAAAGAGAGAAAAGAAGAAAGAAAAUGGAGAGGCCAAAGUGAAAACCCGCAAAGGGCACCUUGAGACCAAAGGGGAUUUGAGUUGAAAACCCGAAACAGGCGGCUCAAAUAUUGAUCAGAAUAGGGCAUGAGGUGAUUAGAGCAACUCGAAUUUUAACCAGAUUGGGGCAUGUGGUGAUCUUGUUAUACCUGAAUUAUCAGGAAAGGGUAGGCAACAUCUUGGGGCAUUGGCAGAGUACUGUGGAUCUCCUAAACACAUGUCAAACUCAGAAGGAUCUUCAAAAAGUUUGUACGGAGAAAUUCAAGCUGCGAUAUCUGGGGCACCCAAUUUUCAUACUAUUGAAUUUGUUAUUCUUAGAAUACUUCAUUCUUUUCAAAGAUACACAUUCCCAAUCAAUUUCUUUGUUAUCCUUUUUACUAUUUUUGAUAAUUUAUUCCUUUCGAGCUAUGCUCAGAACUAAUUUUAUUCUUAUCCAUUGUUAUGACCUUUUUGCAUGCAUAUUGCAUUGGAAUAAUGAUCAAUGGACUAAUAAAACUUUCACAAGGGAAGUUUUGCAUAUUACUCUAGAAGUUUCUAAAUAAUAUAGGAGCCUGAAACAGGACUAUUAUUUAGAACGCACUAGGUUUAAAGGUUGGAAAUCUAAAAAGGAAGAGUCUAAACUAGGACUUUCUCUUUGGAUUUUGUUGUCAAAAAUCAUUAGUUGAACAAAAUAAUAAGAUGUCGUGUUGAUGACAAAGCUUAAAUCAACAAGCAAGUAAUGAUCACCAGGCAAUAGAAAGAGGUUACCUCGGGGAAGAGAGCCCUCAUUUGCUCAUGAGCCUUUGGUACGACACCCUAGGAAUGGUGUAAGAGACAAGAAAGAUUUAGAUCCUGUAUCCUUGAAUUGUGAUAGGAGAGGAUUGAAGAAAAGCCAUAUACCCUUGGGUUACAGUGGGAGAACGAUGGUAUGAAUUUUUGCGCCCCAAUGGAUUAAACUUUGAGGUUUACAGUGGGGGCAACCUGACUAAAUGUUUCUUCAGAAAAGCCAGCCAAGCAAGAAGGCAUUGUAGCACGUUAGUGUUAAAGCCUUAAUAAUCUUCGAACAAUGACAACCUAGGUGGGAUCAUUCUCGAAAAAAAAACUAUGCAUUCAUGCAAACACCAUUCACAGAUGUCUAGUUAGGAGCAUUUGAUUCAUUUUAUGCCAUCCUAAUCAUUAGGCAUAAAUAGGUUCAUUAUACAGGUCAUGUUCCCCAGAGAGCAGAUCAGUAAAAAUAGCAGAUCUUGCCUUCCUACACCGACAGUGAAACAGAUCAAAGACACCAGCCAUGCCUCCCUGGGUUGCAGUGGAGUAGGUUAAAAAUAGCAGAUCUUGCCUUCAUGCACCGACAGCGAAGCAGAUCGAAGAGACCAGCCUUGCCUCCCUGGGUUGCAGCGGAGCAGGUUAAAAUAGCAGAUCUUCCCUUCCUGCACUGACAGCGAAGUAGAUUGAAAACACCAGCCUUGCCUCCUUGGGUUGCAGUGGAGCAGGUUAAAAAUAGUAGAUCUUGCCUUCCUGCACCGACAGCGAAGCAGAUCGAAGACACCAACCUUGCCCCCUAGGUUGCAGUGGAGCAGGUUAAAAAUAGCAGAUCUUGCCUUCCUGCACCGACAGCGAAAUCGAAGACACCAGCCUUGCCUCCCUGGGUUGCAGCGUAGCAGGUUAAAAAUAGCAUAUCUUACCUUCUUGCACCGACAGCGAAGCAGAUCGAUGACCCCAGCCCUAUUUCCCUGGUCAGCAGGGGAAUAAGUUGAAGAUUGAGAAUCUUAUCUCCCUGAAGUUGCAGUGGAGUAGAUUAAAGCCAAUAAUCCUAUCUCCUUAAAUUUGUAGUGGAGCGGAUUAAAACCACAGAUCUUAUCUCUCUAAAGUUGCAGAGAGCAGAUCGCAUCUGGUCUUAUCUCCCAAAAGUUGCAGUAGAGCAGACUGAGUAAGAAAGUCUUAUCCCCCUGAAAUUGCAGUGGGGCAGACUAAAUGAACAAAUCUUAUCUCCCUAAAGUUGUAGUGGAGUGGAUUAGAAUGAUGGGUCUUAUCUCUCUGAAGUUGCAACAGAGCAGAUCACAUCAAAUUCAUCUUUAAGUGACAGCAGAUCAAGUUGAAGCUAUAAGUCUUAUCUCCCUGAAGUUGCAGUGGAGUAGAUUGAAGCACUAGUUCCUAUACCUUUGAAGAUGCAGUAUGAAGGAAUGAGGCUACUUGAAGAAGAAGACUACCUAGGUCCAGCACGAUCGGGUAAAAUUGGGCAUUUUUAAAGUCUUUACUCCAUUCCUGUUACACGAUAACGAGUAAAGAGGGGCAGCUGUAAUACCCAAAUUUUACCGAGCCUACAAAAACAGUCCAAAUUACAAUGGGCUUAUGUGGCCCAAAACCCGAAUGAACAGAGGCCCAAAACAAUGGCCCAAAAUAAUGUCAGAAACUCCUAGGGUUUCUGAGGAAACUUUUGCGCCCAGCCACCAAGCACCACGAGCUGAAAUCUUCACCUGCACAAAAACAACAGAAAUGGCAAGAAAAUCAAAGAUUGCGAAUCAAAUAUGAGCAAGAUUUGAUUCUUUUUAUUAUUAUUUUCAUUAUGGCUAUAAAAUAGCCAUUGAUAUGCUGUAAAAAAGAGGGGGAAGACCGAAAGAAAUACAAAGACCAAUAGGAAAUUUUCUUUUUUUGAAAUACAAAGGUUUUCUUUUCUGUUUUACCUCAUUGUCGAUUAUUGUUCUUUUAUUUUUUCAUUUAUACAUAUACAUAUUUGAUUUUUUUAUAGUUUCUUUAUUUUUUAUUUAUUUUUGCUUAAAAUAUAAAGAAAAGAGGAGAGAUUUUACCUUUUUUUCGUCGAAGUCGUCGAAUGGUGGCCAUCUCCGUCGCGAUCGGAGUGUUGGCACAGGCGAACGAUGGCGCAAAAGGGGUUAAGAAAAAACCCUAGCAGAGCAUUUGUGUUUUUUUGUUUUUUUUAAUCUGGCUUAUUGAUUUUUAUUUUUUAAAAAAAGAAUUUUCGUUUAAAUAACAUUAACAAAACGGCGCCGUUUUAGGGGAGCAGGAUCUGCGCGUUGACCCAACCCGCAGGCAGGGUCCACACGUUCUGGCCUUGAAUUGGGUAUUUGUGCAUUUAGUCCCUCCUCUUUGCGACGUGCUUCAAUCAAACCCAUUUUUCUUUUUUUUUUUUAAAUUUAGCCGCAUAUUUCAUUUUUGUUUCAAUCUGGUCCGUCACUGCGCAGCGUUUUAGAAGGCGGGAUUAAUUUCCCUUUUGGUCCUCUAUUGUUGCUUGCGCAUUCAAGUUGGUCCCUUCUUUAUAUUUAUUGCUAAUCUGCCCCAUUUUUUCGCUUUUAGUUCAGUUUAGUCCAUUUUUUUAGCUAUUUCAUUAUUUAGUUAUUUUUUUAUUUUUUUGUUAUUGUUAUUAUUAUUAUUUCUAUACUUAUUAUUUCUAUAUUUAUACACGCAUUUUUUUAUAGUAUAUAUAUAUAUAUGCAUUUUUUAUAUAUAAUAUAUAUUUUUUAACUUUUAUAAAUACAUGCAUAUACUUCAUACAUAUUUGUUUAUUAUUAUUUUGAUUUCAAAACUUUUAUAUACUUUAUAUUUUAUAUAUAUACAUAUACAUUUUAUAACACAUAUACAUUUUCCACGUUUUAUAAUUUAAAAUACACAUACAUUUUCUAUAAUAUAUUUAUGUAUACGUUUUUAUUCUUUAUAUUUUUUUUUUGGUUUAUUUCCUUCGUCUAUUCAUUGAUUUAGGUUUUCAUUUACAUUUUAAAAGAAUGUCCUUUUUUUUAUUUUGCUUAUUCAUUUUAUAUUUUUGCAUUGUCAUUGUUUAUUUUUUUACUUUAUAUUAAUUUCGUUUAUUUACUAUUAUAUUAUUUCUAUACAAUUGUCGUAUUUAUUAUUGCGACAUUUAUACAUACAUUCCAUAUAACAUUACAUCAUCUUUUACUCGAAUUUAAAAAUAGAAAAUUUUCAAAAUAGAGAUAAUACUCGUAUUUAGGAUUUUUAAGAAAAUUGAGCCCUAACGUAUUGGGUUCCGAUUUUCUUCGUUAAAUCUAACAAUCGAGAAUUGCUCUUUGAUCAAAAAUAAAAUAAAAACUUGUCAUCGGGAAUUCAAUAUGUUGUGUCCUAACGUAUUGGAUAUGACGCGUUGAUUUCUCGAGAUAAAGAUUUUCUAAAAAAUAAAGGAAAUAUUCAAUGUUUGGGAUUUUAAGAAAUCGUGCCCUAACGUAUUGGGCUGCGAUUUCUUCAUAAAUUUUAAACAAUUAAAUAUUUUCUUAAAUUUUAUUACACGAGUUUUUUGGACCAACUCAUCUUAAAAAGAACAAAAUAUUGUGCCCUAACUCAUUGGGUGUGAUAUUUUCUUUUUUCAAAAUGAGAAAGUCUUAAUAAAUAAUUUAAUUUAACUAAGGAUCGUAUUUAUUAACUCUCGACAUUAAGACACUGAUUAAUCAACUCAGUACCAAUUUUUGGGUGUUACGAGGGUGCUAAUCCUUCCUCGCACGUAACUGACUCCCGAACCUGUUUUUUAAAACUCGUAGGCCAAAGUCAUUUUUAGGUGAUCCAAUCACACCUUAAUAAAAGAUUGGUGGCGACUCCAAUUUUCAUCGACAACUAAUUUUUGUUUUUUUCAAAAUAAAAAUGGUUUCGACACAAGUAAUAGUAAGUUUCAUACAAGGUUCAAAGGCAAUUAAAUGACUUGUAAGUUUGUUGAACUUCUUUGAAAGGCCCAAAGGCAAUUGAACAUUUACAAAAUAGUCUCUAUAUACUGUAGAGACAAAUCAAAUCCAUGGGAGCAUUACAGUUAGUUAAAUUGAGCAUUGGCAGAAAUUCCAUCAUAGGAAAUAUUGGCAAAAUCGUCUAUUUAAUUAGAAAAACAACAUAAUUCAUGAAACAUAGAUAGCCCAAUAUAAAUGUCAUCGAGAAAAAAAGUCUGUUUGUUUUAUAGCACAUGAUAGUAAAGCAUGCGAAGUUUCAUUCUUCUUAUUGGCCUCCUUUAGUUUUCCUUGAUCAUCAACCACUAGCCAAAAACACAAUUAGAUUAGAUUAUAAAUGAAACAUUCAAUUAUGAUAAAAUUAAAUAGAAAACACCCUAAAUAACUCUAGAUAAAUGAAUAGUAGCAAAUUACCUGGUGAGGCAAGCUAGCUCAAUUAAGAUCAUUGUGUUAGACUUGUGUAUGCAUUAAACAAUCUAAAAGAAAAUGAAGGAAAAGACUUAGAAAACACUUGAAAAUUGACAAAAUUUAUAUGCCAUUGACUGGUUAAACUAUGAUCACCCAUAACAGACCUUGUAUUGGAGUUUUUGUUGAGGGAGAUCAAGUCCUUCAAGAAAAGUCUUUUAAGUGUUGUUUGUUACGUAAUCGCUGCUACCCUCAACAAAAGGUAUUGUCCUCAUGUCAAGAUUUUAUCCUCAGCCUUUAUGGAAUAAUCAUGGAGAUUACAUGUGCAAGGAUUCAAACCACCAACCAAUGCAUAUGUAGUAUUUACUUUGGAACCAUCUCCGUGAACCCACGAGGUUCUUUGCAGAAUCAAGAGACAAAACCCCAACACAAGAAUAAUACCAUCUAUUGAGGGUCCUUUAACACAACAAAUGAAAUUCAUACAUUUAUUUAAUAAAAGUAAAUAUCAUAUUUAAUUGGGGAAAAGCAACAAAAAAUCCAACAAUAAAAUCCUUAGCAAAAGAUUAAAACACAGUUAUAUCGUAAAUGACAUAAGAAACUAAGAAAAUCCAAUCUGACAAAGAAAAUAACUUGAUGCUCCAAAGCUACCAUAUACCGUAAUUCAUGGGAAGGUCUGAUGCUCAUUUUAUUGGUUUCCAUCUUGAUUUUGCAAAAGAAGUUUGAAUUUUGAAGAGAGCAAAAGAUUGAGCGAAAGAAAAAAAAUUAGUUUAUUAAUUUUCACAAUUUAUAAGACAAACCUUAUGGAGACAAAUAAUGACAUAUUAGAUAUUUGUGAUUAAAAUUCUAGAAUAGAUUUAAAAUGUUGAAUUAAUGAUGAAAUUAAUAGUGAAUUAAUAACAACAAGCGUACUGAUUACUUAGCUUCUUUGUUAAACAUGUUCGAUGUUGUUUAACAGCCUUUGUUUGAUUUUCUUUAGCUCAACCACAACAUCUUUCAUAUCUUUUCUUUCUUCUGGUAACUCAGCUGAACAAUUCAAAGCCAACUCCAUGAUGGAUGAAAUACAAUUUGCUUUAACAACAAAGUACUCAUCCUUUCUUCUUAGUAAAUCAACAUCUGCAAUUUCUAUCGCUCCUUUAGGCAACGAACUUUCCAUCCAAUGCGUUAUAGUCAUUUCUUCAGCAAAAAAUUUAUCAGUUGGCUUUUUCUUUGUAAAAGUUUCUAUAAGGAUGAUCCCAUAACUAUAGACGUCACAUUUUAUACAAACAAUUCCUGUUGAUCCAAAUUCUGCAUUUCAAGUAUAAUUAGAACAUCAUCAAUCCUUAAUUAGUUCUAAAAUGCUUAUUCAAAUAUAUAUCCAUAUAUGCAUGAAACAAAAGUAUAAAAUGCAAAUUAGGAAAAUAAUGAUACAAAAAAAAAAUUCACCUGGUGCCAUAUACCCGAUAGAUGCAAGAGUCAUGGUUUGCUUUAUUACAUCACCUUCUCCCAACAAUUUGGCACAACAAAAUCUCCCACAUGUGCAACCAUGUCUUUAUCUAGUUGUAAUAGCCCAUUUUGCCCGGGGCCCAAUAAAACCCAAAACAAACCAAAAUAAUAAAACAUUCACAGUCCAUUUACAAUAAAUAAACACACUACCCAUAUCAAGCCCAAUUAAACCCAAAUCUCAAAGCCCAAAACAAAACAACACAACCCGAGCCCAUAAACUAAAAAUUUUCAGCACAAAAAACCCUAGCCCUAAGCCUCCAGUGCCGCAUGUGCUCCACCGCCGCCGCUCGCCUAUCACCGGCCAUCCACGCGUCUGGCACCACCUGCAAGAGCAAACAACACGCAAAAGAAGAGGCCAACCAGUAACAGACAAGAACAAAGAAAUGAAACAAAUUUUGUAAUUUUGGCUAUAAAAGCCCGAAUAUAUCUUUGUAAUUUCUUCUUCCGUUUUACGAACAUCUAGUAAAAAAAAGAAGAAAAGCAGAGAACAGAUUUUCGAGAGGUGAAACCUUUUUUUCGGUUCUUUUUUUUCAUUAUAUUUUAUUUUUUUAUUUUCAUUUUUUAUAUCAAACAAUGAAAUAAAAAAAAGGAGAAAGAAAUGUAGCAGAAUCGACCCUUAGCCCCGCCGUCGGUGGUCUUUUCCCCGGCAUCGAAAUUGGCGAGAAAUGAGGCAAAGGUCGAAUCUUUUUCAUUUUUCUUUACUUUUCAGUCAUUUUCCUUGUAGAUCUAAAAUCUACGCUUAAAACGGGCUAAAAAUAAAAAGUUUUGGGUUCUCCGGUCACCGUGGGCUGCGACACCGUCGCCGACGAUCGGCGGCCGCCACGGGGGUCAACGGCCGGCCCUUUGCCCGGAAUCGAAGAGAAAUUUUAAGAGAAAAGGGAGCUUUGGAAAUUUUUUAAAGCAAAUGGCUGAAAUGGGGUUUCAAAAAAAUGUUGGCUUUUAUAAUACUAUUAAACGGCGUUGUUUUGCAACUGAAGGUCAGGUGCCAAAACGACGUCGUUUUGGCCCUUACCCGCUCGCGCUCCCGACCCGCUCCUGGGGGAUCCGCGUGUUUUUGGCGUUUGGGCUAUUUGCACUGCGGAUCCUUCUGCAUUUCGCCCAGUUUAUGAUUUAGUCCCUUUCGUUAGAUUUCUUUUAUUUUUAAUUUCGCCUUGAAAUUUUGUUCUGAUUUUAUCGGAGUCCCGCAAAGUGCUGCGUUUUGGAGGGCAGGGAUAUUUUCCCCUUUGGUCCCUCCUUGUUAUUCACGCACUCGAUUUGGUCCCUUUCUUUUAUUCAUUUGCGAAUUUGCCCCCAUAUUUCUGUGUUAAGUUCAAAUUAGUCUCUUUUUUAUUUAUUUUUGCUAUUAAAUUAAUUAAUUUUGAUAAUAUUAUCAUUAUUAUUAUUAUUAUUAUUAUUAUUAUUAUUGCUAUUAUUAUCUUCGUAUUAUUAUUAUUGUUUGCUUUAUUAUUAGUAUUAUUAUUAUUUUCAUUAUUACUAAUAUUAUUAUUUUUAUUUUACUACUCUUAUUAUUAUAUAUUGUUAUUAUUUUUAAAUUGUUUUACCUAAUAUUCCCUCGUUUAUUAUUUAUAUUCACUCGUUCAAAUUUUCAAUCAUUUUCAAUUAGUUACUUCUUUUUUUAAAUCAGUUUGUUUUAUUUUUUAUUUUCAUUUUAUUAUUUCAUUAUUUUAUUGUUUUUAUUAUUUAUAUUAUUUUUGUUUUUACUCUUAUUAUUCCUUUUUAUUUUGGUUUAUUUCAUUUCAACUUUUGCGCUCAAAUUUUUUUUGUUAUUUCGUCAUCUAUUUAUUUUCGUAUUUAUAUUUUGUUAUACAUACAUUCAAAUCUCAACUAUUCAUUAUCAUUAUUAAUUUUAUUAUUAUUGUUAUUUAUAUUUAUUAUUGACAUCCUCAUCAUGUUGUUGCACACAUUAGCAUUGUAAUCCAUUUUACAUUUUACUAUAAAAUCGCGUUAUGUUAACCUUCAUCCAAUACAUUUUAUAUUAAGCAAUUUUGUAACUCAAAAUUCCAGAAAUCGUACCCUAACUUACUGGGUUUCGAUUUUCCUCGACGAGUCUAAAGAACCAAUCCUUUUUUUAAAAAAUCAAAGCAUAAGUUAAAUAAAAACUUAUCCUCAGGAGUUCAAAAUGUUGUGUCCUAACUCACUGGAUGUGACAUUUUGUUAUCUCAAGGUAAAGAUUUCUAGAAACACAAAGGCAAUAUUUUGAAUUUGGAAAUUCGAGAAAGUGUGCCCUAACGUGCUGGGUUUCAAUUUCUCGUUUGACCAAAUAGCCAAAUAUCCUCUUAAAACUUCAAAGUAUGGGUUUUUCAAACCAUAAGGUGAUCUUUGUUUCGAUGGUUUAAAGUAUCGUGUCCUAACGUGCUGGAUGUGAUAUUCCUUCGGAAUAAGAGAAUCUUAAAUUUCAAUCCAUGUUAUUCAAAUUUUUUUUAAGGAUUGUAUAUUUUUUUAAACUCUUCAAAGUUUUCAAUCUUCGACAUUAAGACACUAAUUAAUCAACUAGGUACCAAUUUUUGGGCAUUACGAGGGUGCUAAUCCUUUCUCGUACGUAACCGACUCCCGAACCUGUUUCUUUGAAUUUCGCAGACCAAAAGAAUUGUUUUAAUAAAUCUAAAUUGUUUAUUAAAAACAAUCGUUUUACGAGGUGACCCGAUCACACCUCAUCAAAAAAGAUUGGUGGCGACUCCCGUGUUUAUUAUCAUUUUCAAAACCCAAGUCGACCCCGUUUUCACAAAAAAAAUGGUGCCAACACUAGUAAAAUAUUGCUUGGUUUUAAGUCACAAUGAAUUACAGAUGUUGGAUGUCCAUUGUGGAGAUGUUCUAUAGCUACCGCAACAUCUAUCAUUAUGUCGACCCUUUGUAUGAUAUCAAGGAAGCAAAUUUCGGAAUGUAACCAUUUCUCAAGGUUUCCAUUAGACAUGUUAUCAAGCACCAAGGCUUUAAAGUCAACACUUGAGCAGCAAGUAAUGACCUUCACAAUAUUACGAUGAACUAUAUU